rnacentral:lncRNA from 1 species
CGCAGAGCUGAGGAGCGAAGGGGAAGGACUGGGCUGCUGCGGCCCAGCAGCCGUCCUCAAUGUUCCACACUUGGCAGCGCCCUCAGAUUCAGGUAAAUAAAAGGGAUUCUAGACUUUCAUCUUUGUGCCUUGCAGCCAAACCUGACCCCUGGGGCCUGAGAGGCACCAGGUGCCUCUGUGAGCAAAGGCCUUUGUUCCUCACACUUCCUCUCUCAAAGCCUCUCAGCUGGGAUGGCCUUCAGAGGCCAGGAGCGCUAUGAAAAUCAAGGUCCCAGAGCUGAGGAGGGGGCCAGUGCAACUUUGACUCAGUUAAGUGACUGGGGGUGGGGGGUGGAGAGCAGAUGCAAAGGCCCUAAGGCAGAAUCAACUUGGGGUAUUCAAGGAACCACCAGAAGAGCACUAAGCUGGGGAUAAGGUUAGUAGUUGUUACAAUUUGAAUAUGAGGUGUCCUCCAAAAGGUCAGAUGCUGACACAGGAGGUGUGUGAUUACACUUUGAGAGCUGUAGCCUAAUCAGGGAAUUAUUGGGUGGCAACUGCAGACACAUCCUGUAUGGUUGGAGGAGGUGGGUCACCAGGGGUGUGCUUGGGAGCUGUAUGUUAUGUCCCUGACUCCUUGUGCUGUCUGUUUCUGCAUCACUAUGAGAUGAGUGGCUUUUCUCUGCCACAUUCUUCUCCUAUCAUAUUCUGCCUCAGGCCCAGAGCAACAUUAAACCACCAAAGACAGAACCUCUGAAACUAGGAACUAAAGUAAACUUUUCUUCCUCUACAUUGUUCUCAUCAGGAUUUUGGGUCACAGUGACAAAAAAGCCAACUAACACAUGAGUCAAGUGUAUGUAGAGAGGUCUUUGGCCUUGGAGGCCAGUGCAAGGAAUUUGCAUUUGUUCUGCUGAGAUAAGUAGUAACUCCUAGAAAAGGGUAACAUUGAGAAGAGACAUGGGGCUAGUCUGGGUUUGCAAGAAGCAGACACCAAGAAGGAAUUAAAUAUGUAAGGGUUUAUUAGGGGAAGUGCUUUAUUGAGAUAAAAUGGAGCUGGGCAAGAUAAGAUCUGAUUCCUAGUGGUCACUCAGUAAGCUUAAAAAUAUCUGUCAAAUACAUUUUAGAUGGGUGGUCCCUGGUGGCCAUGCAGUCUGAGGAAGAUUCUACAAAGCCCUGGGGUAUCUUUGAGCUGUCCAGGUGAUUCUUUAUCCUCCAGAAAUGGGCCUGUCUUUGUGUCCUGCCUUUUUUCAGACUCUGGCUAGGUCUGGCCCCUGGGACACAUGGCCUCUUAUAAAUGCAGGGGGCUUUCAGAUCCAGACAUCCACAGCCCUCAGUGCACUGGGCACCCAGGUUGCUGGUCUGCAAGAUGCAUCCUCAUGUUGCCCACCUGGCUGGCAUGGUAGAUAUGCCCUUGGGCUGUUUCAAGAUUAGCUGGGAAGGUGAGCAAGAGGCAUGAUGAUGACCACAAAAGGUUGCAGCUCCAGAACCCCACCCAGGGUUCCCAGAUGGAACUCGGUGGGGCCAGACAGAAGUAUGUGCCUGCCAGGGAGUCAGGCACUCUCUGGCUCCAUCCCUGACACCCAGCCUCCUGACACCCAGCAAAUCCUCUGUCUCCCUAAAGGAAGUCAGGCCUGUAUCCUGGCUUCUGGCUUUUGUGCCAUUUUUAUAGCAUGGACUUGAUUUAGGUGUUAGGGUCUUGCUAAGAAUAUGCCCUGACACUUGAAAGAACCUUUAUUAUUAUUCUAAUUUGUGAAGAACUGGUUGUUGGUAUUUUCUUUCCCUUCUCCCCUUUCUUCUCUUCAGAGUCAGGCUGGAGCUAGGUCAUUGUUGUUAAUUUUAGAUCUGAAACUAUAUCUGGCAUGGACUGGUGUCCCCACACUUUCACUUCUUAAAACAGGAAGGAAGGCCCCAGCUGGAGAACUUGGGAGACACAAGAAACUGCUCAGGGCAGUGUUGCAGUGGAAAUCAUUAAAUAUACCUAGGAAGCACCAGAUUCAGAGAGAGUUUUUGUGUGGUUAAAUUAAAAAAAUCCCCCUGUCCCUCACCAUCUGAGGGCCAGGUCUACACCCAUCAUGGGUUAGAGAGUGGGAGGUAAGACCUGAAUGUGUGGGUUCAAAUCCCAGCUCUGCCACUUUCUAGCCUACAUGGUUCUUCUCUGCCUCAGUUUCCUCAUCUGUUAAAUGGGUGAUAUGAUCUAUUUUGGCUGGUAGGGGAUUAAUGAAGGUAGCCUAUGUAGUUUUCACUGGAAUGUCUGAGGCAGGCAUUGCCUUCAUAUGUGUUAGCUCUUAGGACAGGUUGAGCUUUCCCAAUCCAAAAAUCUAAAAUUAGAAAAAUCCAACAUGUUUUGGGUGACAACACAAUGCCCCAAAUGGAAAAUUUUAUACCAUAAAAUUCUGUUUCAUGAUUCACAAAAUUACUAAAUAUAUGAUAUAAAAUUGCCUUCAGUCUCUAUGUUUAAGGCACAUAUAAAAAUGAAGAAAUUUUAUGAUUAGACUUGAGUCUCAUCCCUAGGAUUUCUUAUUAUGUCUAUGCAGAUAUUCCAAAAUCUGGAAAAAAAAAUCCAAAAUUUAAAGUGCUGCUAGUCCCAGGCAUUUUGAAUACAAUUAAUUUCUUUUUUCUUUUUCUCAAAUUCAAGACCAUAAAUCCUGUGGGGUAGAAUAAAGGGUUUGGGGCCAGACCUUGCUGGAUUCUCCCCAGCCUUGUUUUAUGAUCUCUGACUCACCUAUUUUUUUUCCUAAUGUAAAAUGGGAUCAUAACUGCACUUACUCCAGGGAUUAGUGGUGUAUUCAGGUCAAAGCACAUUAGAUAGGAGCUGAUCUUGCACAUCAGUGUUUUUUGCUGGGGCAACACUUUCCUGGAGAUUAUUCCACACUUCCUGUGAGGAUUGUGGCUGGUGCUGGCUUCAGUGGAGCACUUAGUAAAUGCUAACAGGUAGCACUCCCUCAAAUCCAGGUAUGCUGGUGAUGGCCCUGCCCUUCUUUCCUUCUUGCUCACAGUGUGAGCAUUCCCCACAGAACCCCUUACUUGCUGGAUCAGUAUCUUCUUUUCCCUUCAGUGGGUCUUGAGCAUACAGUCCUGGGCUGUUGGGAAAUUUCCUUUGGAUUCCAGCUUCAGGGAGCCAGCCCAAUGUCCAGCAAGGUCUGGCCCCAAACCCUUUAUUCUACCUCACAGGAUUUAUGAUCUUGAAUUUGAGAUAAAGAAAAAAGAAAUUAAUUGAAGUGGGAGUGGGGACAUGCCUGGAGUUACUUGAGACAUUUAAAAACCAAUUUAUAAAAUGACUCAGUUAAAAAUUGCUGCAGGCCAAGUGGGUACUUGCUGCUGCUCAGAUCGUGUAUGUUUUGAGCAAGAAGCAGGGAGACCAUCAAUUUCAUUUUGACUGUCAUGGUGUGUCAAUUAUGAAGGAUCACUAGUGUUACCAUUACCCCCUUUGUUUGCAGUGAAGGGGAUCCUUUGCUUCUCAGUCCUCAACGUGAUGAGAAAAUGGUGCUAUUUGCUGGCAUGCAAGAAGCCACGGCAAGCACCCUAAGCCUCACCACAAUGCAGGAGUCAGAGGCUUUGCUGGUUUGGAAAGCUAGAGUUGCUGAAAUUUAAGUUUUGAUUUAUUUUGUUCACCCAUCACGUUUGGCCUUAGUUUUGUUUUUAAUUUGAAGAGAAGUUGAAAUUGCUUUAUCUUGCGCUUUUAACAUCUCCACCAAAUUGCCAAAAGAAGGAGAAAUGCUCCGUUUCCUUUUUAAAUGUUAAUGAUGAUGUUAAUAAAGCCUUUCCUGACAUAUUUGAGGAGCUCCUCCAUCUCCAGGGAGUUGUGCAGUGAUGGGUUUAGUUCUGAAUGGAUGAAGAGUUCCUGAGAGAUAGUGUUUGUAAUUAGAACCAUUACUUGGUAUCUGUACCUUAUUUGACCUGUGGUUCCACAUGCCUUGGAUGUGCAUGCACCAUGAUGGUUUCAUAGAUACGAACGCACACUCAGGCCCAGUCACUUCGGUUGGUAGUACAUAUUGUGAGAAAAAAAAAAAAAAUGGAGGCAUCAUUAAGGAGGAGAAAGUGUUUGCCUUUAGUUCCUGCAUUAUCCUGUACAGGGGCUCUUGAGCUUUGGAAGCCUGUUCUCAGUACAGGAGAACAACUCCCCUGUUUGCAGCAGGAGACUUCGGUGCACAGUGACAACACUGUAGUUCAAGAGGAAACCAGCAAUGCUGCACCAUAGGCUUCAUACACCAUGGCUGUUUGCCAGUUUUAAACAUAACUAGUUGCAGAUGAAGACCUCCUUGAAAUGCAGGCUUGUUGGGCUUGUUAAGAAUUUUAAGCUUGGAUGGAAGAGCCCUAGUGCUGUCUGUUUCCAUGCAGGAUGAUGAUUACUAGGCAACAGGUGAUUAUCAACCAAGGAUGCCAUGGUUAUACUCUGCAAGGUGGUAUUCCAGUGGCAAACAGCUGUAUAAACUCUUGUAAACAGGAUCUACUGACAAAACCCUCUAGCCAAAUUUGGAAUCUGGCUUUAUUAUCCAGCAAGUAAAAGCUGAGUUAUAAUUGGCAGACUUCUGGUACUGGCAGUUGUCUACUUGUUUCUAUAGAAACUGAUUUGGAAGUCAGAGCUGCACAAAGGGAAAGGGUAAGUUUCUUUUAAUUCCAUAUUUAUAAACCCAUAUAUUAUUAACUGAGGCAUGGUGUCAUUUUCCACAUAAAGAUAUACAUAAGUGAAAUAGAUCUCAAAUAUGAAGUACAUAUUUCACUUGUGUGGAAACUGAUAUCAAGUCAUUAAAUAUUAAAAGGGUUUAAAUAUGGAUUUAUUUUUCUUGUGACUCUCACUUCACAUUUCUUCAAAGAAUGAACAAUUUAAUUCUCACUUUCAGUUAUUUUUAAUUUGGGAGGUCAUAAAACUGAUUUUUAUCCUUUUAUAUCUGAUUUUAUUCUACUUUUCUGAUAAGUGAAAGUUGGUAUAAAAUAUGUACAGAGGACAUUUUAAAAGUCUGCAAGAAUUAUUAAAAAAAAAAAAAACCCUGCUGCACAAGAGAAGGAAAUGAAGAUUUCAGGGCCUGAGUGAGGGGGGCCAGGCUCUUGAGAUUGCAGGGAAGGGAGUCUAAGCAGUCUAAUUCUGCUUUUUCUUAGGCAACCUCUACCUUGGUGGACCUGCAAGCAGCCUACCCAGUAGAUUGGUCCAUGCUUUCUUGUUCUCAGCUCUUCAGGUGUCCAUGCUGUUAAACACCUAAGCAGGUCUCAGUAGUGGUGCUCUGUUUCAUCACCUAUAGUCUUUCUCAGCCCCCAUGGUGGAAAGUCCUUGCGAUACUUGCUACACUGACUCGAAGCUGGCAUGUUUCCCUGUGGCUUCCAAUGUGGGUGCCUGUCUUUCUGAUUCCCUCUUUUUACCCCAGAUGUGCACUUCAGGCCUUGAGGACUAUGUGAUGGGGACUUUCAGUUCUGAUGUUGACAUCAUUAAUUCCCAGGUAGGCCCCUGUGUGGAUGAUUCUAGAUUCUUAGGCUACACUUGACUUAACAUGACCCUGGUCUUAUGCAAACUUUUCUAAAAGUUCCCAGGUAGAUUUUUAAAAAGAUGACAGUAAUUUUGCACUAGAGAAAGACAAAAUGCACCCAGACCCUCUGAAUGUAUUAGUAUCUUAAGGAUGCUGUAACAAAACACCACAAACUGGAUGGCAUAAAACAACAGAAACAAAUUUGCUAAGGCUGUCUUUGAACUUGGAAUUCUCCUGCCUCAGCCUCCCCAACUGCUGGGAAUACAAGUAUGCACCACUGUACCCAGCCAGGAAUGCAGAUGUUUCAAUUGUCAAGAAUGUAAAUGCAACACUCAGUCUGAAUGAUGGAACAAGUGCCACCCUGACCUGCUGUAAGAACAUCCAAGGUAAGAACACCAAGGCCAUUUGGUGUUAUAAAACAGCUUUUUUUCAUGAGUACCAUGUCUGCAUUGAGGAAAGAAAUGCCUUUCUCAGUGUCAUUGAAAGCUUUUUGAAUAUAAUUGGCUAAACCUUCCAUGUACCACAUUUAUAUCCUCUAGACCAAUUUUUGGGAUAAACUGUGAAGCUAAAUGAUCAUACCAGUGAAAAACAGUCCCCAUCUAUGCUUGAGACUGGGGAUGUUUGCAGAUUGACUUAUUUUUUGUGUCCACCUCCCUUGCAUUCUUAGGUACCCAACAAUACAUUUUCCCAUCCAGCCUGGAGGAACCCAGAGCCAUAAGUUAGUCCCACAUAUCGACUGAUUCCCUUUGGGGGCUGGCCAUCUAAUUUCAGGUCUCAAGAACCAGCUAGUCCCAAACUAAUCAUAAGGCUAUAAAAUCACAAUAUGUUGACAUCAAGAUUUUGAGGUCUAUCCUGACUUCUAAAUCGAACUAGGCCAUGUAUCCCAAGUGUGGUUAUGUUUUUUUGCAACAAAUUGAGGUCUUCUGAUUGAGAUAUCCUGUGGUUGGCUUAAACCAUAUUCAUCCCAAUUUUUAAAAAAUAUUUUUAGUUGUGUAUGGAUACAAUAUCUUUAUUUAUUUAAUUUUUUUUGAGGUGCUGAGGAUCGAACCCAGGGCCUUACACAUGCAAGGCAAGCUUUCUACCACUGAGCCACAACCCUAGCCCCAUUCAUCCCAAAUUGAUAGUAACCUUCCUUAUGUCUUUGCUAUUCUGGCAUUCCUAAUGGAAGAUAAGAUGAAGAUGGACUCAAAUGUGGCUUAAUGACUGCAAACUUUUGGAAAUUGGUUUGCUCUAAAGUGAAAUUUUUUCCAUGACCUGAAUGUGACAAAGUCUCAUUUAGAGGUCAUAAUUUAACAUCUGCAUAAGAAGUGAUUUAUAAUGAGUCCAUCUUUCUUCUUUGAUUCUAGAAUUAGAGACAAUAAUUUUACCUAGUCAUUCCUUUGUAGGGAGAAUCCAACAAGCUAGGGUCAAUCAAUUGUUCUGAUUGUUCAAUGGCUGACAUCAAAAGAAAAGAACUCAGUGUCUUGAGUGGAAAACUUAGACAAGCUCCUAAGUUUAUUAAGAUAUCAUAAUGGAGUUUGAUAGUUAGCCAUUACCAAAAAAAGAAUAAGUGAAUAUUUUAUCUUCCCAAUUGCAACAUGGAAAAGAAGUAAUGUGUCUUAUAUUGGGUAGUCUAUUGACUCCCAAUACCAAGCAGGAAUCAGCAGAAAAGUAUCCAAGGUUGAGACACUAUAGGUGGUGCCAGCAUCCUAAAGGAAAUGAAUGACACUAUUUCAUGCCUCAAGUUACCCUCAGUCCAGCCCCAGCGAUGGUGACUGACUGGGAUGCUGGCUGACUCCCAAGGCUUGCUCAUUCUUGGGCCAUCAUUUUGAGAUUGUCUGAUCUGAGGUUCCUUCAGCCUCCAGGGCAGUGAACUUUCCAGUGGCCUCUCCUGCCACAUAUAGGGCAAGGAGUCUUUGAAGCCUGCCCUUAAUUAGGUGAUCUUUCUUCUAAUGUUCUUCCUUUCUGUAACAAUGACAGAUAUUUUCAGAGACUUAAGGGUCCUGUGGAGGAAGAAAGGGGUGACCAUUAAGAACUGCAGUCAAUAAUUGCACUGGUCUUUUGUCCCUCAUUUCUCCUUUUAUCUAUCCAUUAAAUGUUCAUCCUGGUCUAAUCAUAAAAGAUCUGUGGGCUACCUUCAAGGGAAAUCCCAGGGCCUACUACCAAUUUUGUAAUUUCUAUCUAAUAUUUGGAGCAAAUUGAAGAAUGAACUUAUCUUUUAAAAUAAGUUGCCCUUCAUGAGAUGUAGGAUCUAAGGGUGCAUAAUUUUACUAAGCCUUCUUCAAUCUUUCUACAAAAGCCCUGGGAUUUCACUCCAAUCUCUGAUCAAUUGUUGCCAGUUUCAUAUAGUUAAUAGUUGUCAUCCUACUGUUUUUAAGUUCUACUUUGAGACAAAUAAUCAUAUGAUUGUUAUGCCACCCCUGGUGAUUCAUCAUAAAUCCAUUGAGGAUGCUCAGUUGAAAAAGCAGACGACCCACAGGGUAUAGAGUUAGUGAUAUGUAAAUCAUUCCCCCAAACCCUAGAAGCUUCUGUGUCCUGAUGUCUCUCUCUGUCAGUUACAAUAUGACUCAAAAUUACUCGUACAUCUCUAGAUUACCUCAAAACCUGGGUUAAAUGUUGGAAUUCCUCUAUAUAUUUAUCAGGAUCAUCAGAAAACCUUCCUAAAUCUUCUUGAUUUCUUUUAGAUCUUUCAUAGAAAAACACACCUGCAUUUGUCUGAUCCAGAUUCUCCAUUUGUCUCUUGUAAUGGGUGUAAACUGGCAAUGGGCUUGGUAGGGAUAGGCUUACUGUGAAGGAAACCAGAAUGGGGGGAGUGGGAGCAGUAGAUAAUGGUGGGUACAAAGGAAAGUGGGAGAAUUGGGUUUUGACAGCUCUGAGUGUUAAGUACAUUGUUGAGAGAGAGAAAGGGUUAGUUUUUGGGGGUCCCCUAGGCCAGCAAUGUUUUGACUCAUCAUUGCUAGAAGGGCCUAAUCAAUGCUGCAUUUAGCACAUAAAUCUUUUGAUACUUUAGUAAAAAGAAAGCCUGUAGAGAGGGGACUUCUGGCCAUUUUACUUCCUUUCUGCAACAAGAAUCUCAUAGUUAAAGAGUAUUAUAGUUUCAACUUCUGUUAGUGGACCGUUUAUUUUUAUCCCCUAAUUCAUACAGAGGCCAAUUAACAUGACAAAAGAAAAUUAAUCUCUUCUUGAGGGUCUCCAGGCAAAAAAUGUCCUAGUUUCACAGGAUGUACUGCAAGGAGGUGGUAGCUUAUAUCAAUGGUUGAUUUGCUGUCUGUAAAAUAAAGCCAACCAGGUAUAGUGGCAUACUCCUGUAAUCUCAGGGACCAGGGAGGGUGAGGCAGGAGGAUUGCAAGUUCAAGGUCAGCCUCAGCAAUAUAGCAAGGCCCUCAGCAACUUAACAAGACCUGCCUCAAAAUAAAACAAUAAAAAGUGAUGUGGAUGUGCCUCAGUAGUUAAGUGCCCCUUGGUUCAGUUCCUGUUACCCCCCGCACACACACAAACACACAAAAAAAUAAUUAAAUAAAUAACAGCCUGAUGAUAUGCCAGGAGUUCUUCAGCAGUACUGACCUGAAAGCCAGAUGACUACAUAAAGGCAUUCCUCACAUAACAUUGCAUUUUAAACCCAUGUAGUGGUUCCCUAGAAUGAGUGUAGUAUGUGUGUCCAAGUUCAGCAACUCAUGCCUUGUUUUCUGAACUCUGUUUCUCAAACCUAUAAUCUUAUUUAAUAAACAUGUUUAAUAACCUUAUGCCAGACAAUUGAUAUGACUUGGGAAGUGACCCUUAAUUCUUUUUCAGAGAACUUGAAGAGUAGGAUGGGCCUGAUGUUGAAAAGUAGAGGGAGCCAGAGGUUUUUUUGUCACCCUGUUGGAAUCAGAGCCAGUCCAAAAAUAACAACAUGAUAAAUGACAUAGAAAAGAGGAAGGAUCAUUAUAUUGCAGGGUUUUCCCUUGGAAUAAACCCAUGAGGGGACAUGAUGUCCAUGCAAUGUAUUAUACAGUAAAAAACUACCAUUUUGGUAAAGAAAUGAUACCAGCUGAGAAAAAAGUUUCUUAGCUGUGCGAUAUCUUAUACUAACUAAUUCACCCAAAUUAUAAGUAGGUAAAGAUGGUAAACUCAUUGGCCUUCAGUUUCUGGAAUAGCCUCAAAAAGAAGGUGGUAUGAUGCUCAUUACUGAAGAGAGUCAGGGGUCACUAUAAGGCAACAGCCACAACAGUAGAGUCUCAUUGCCUCUCUGGUGGCCUUGGUCAAAAAGAUGCCAUAAAAAGCAAGAGAGAGUGUACAUCUGCAUGUCAGGAGGAGGAAAAAAGGUGCCACUACAGUUACUUACUGUAAGAAAAGAUGGCACUCAUGUGACAUAUGGAACAGGUUUUGACAAAGAAAAGUGUACACAGAGAAGCCCAAAGCAAAAGGCAAGAUAUCAGGGGUUAAGUUAGACAUCAUCUCAACCAAAGCUGGGAGAGAAACAAGGUGAAGUUCAUAUACCUGCCCUGUAGAUGGCUGUUGAUCUGAAUGGAGGCACCAGGUUAGACAUCACAGGAGAGUGGAAAGUUGAAGCUCCAAACUUCAGUUCUUGUGUUCCAAGGAAAGAAAGCCAGACACUGAAAGCCAUGCACGAGAACUUUCUCAUAAGUAAAAAGUAAAGUAAGGCUCAAACAAAGAGCCCUCUCAUGAGAGUGAGUCAUCUCCCAGCAGAGAAUGAGAAAUGAAAUAGUGCUGUUUGUAAAUGUACUGCUGUUUUAUGGUUGCCUUGAGAACUGGGGUCCACCUUCAGCACUCUUUACCAAUCGGGGUGUUCAGCUCCUUCAUGUCAGGUGGUAGAGUUUUUCAUACUAGUGGCCAUCAUAUUAAAGGGGGGGUGUAUUUACAAGUCAGUCCUAUGUUAAUGUGAUUUUGGGGGUCAGUGACUAGACAGAAUUUACUUUUGUGCUCCUGAAUUACUAAGAAAAUUUCUCUUCAGGAAUAUUUUGAGGCACCUAUGGUCAUAAGAACGUAUAUGUGAAUAUAAAAUUCUAUUUUCAGAAGAUCCCAUUGUCUAGCUUUACAAUGAUACCAACUGACCCUGUGAAGAGUUAGUAAUUACCCCACUAAUCUUACUUGAUAUAUUUCUUAAUUGGCUCCCUUUUUUGGGUUUAUUUGUAUACCUGGUUUUUUUCCUGCAUUUUCUGAUUACCCAUUUGCCUUAAAAAAAUAAAGAGCACCUUAAAGUAACUUAAAGAAAACCCAUGAUAUUGCCCUGUUAUUGCUUUGCAUUUCACUGUUUAUUACUCACUACUACUUGAUGUCUCCCACCCACUGAGAGAACUAACAAUGACUACCUUUGGUUUGGGCAGGUACAGGUCAGAGGAGGGUCCCUUUGCCUUGGAGCCGGCAAGCUCCAUGGCAGAUGAACAAGAUUCCCCCUGCCACCCACAGGGACCAUACAGGAAAGCAAGUAGAGUGUGGGGGUUAGCCACAGAGCCAGCUUUGGCAUGAUGCCCCUCCUCACACUGAACCAGCCAGACUUUGUUAAAUGAUGAAUUUUCUCACUGAUCUCCAAUAGCUCCAUGGGAAAAUUGGAUAAAAAUCCUCCCAGAUGAGAAAUUAAAGCAGAGCACAACAGUCAAAUUUGCCCCAAGAUAGGCAAGCAAGGGGACUGGAAUGCAGGCUCCACCACCCUGGGUCAGAGCACUAUCUACUGGGUGGCAAAGAACUAGGCACAAUUGGGCACUUGCCUGGGCAGGCACAAAAUUGUGGCUUCACCAGACUGAGGUUCUGAUGGAGUUGGUAUCUGCUGCAAACCUCCAAUUAAACAUAUUAGCUUUAAAAACAGGAAACCAUAAAUUCUAAACACUGAAAUAUUCCCUUUGCUAAUAAUACUGCGGUACAAAAUUUGGAUGUCUUUUUCAGGUUUAAAAAUGUAAUGACAUAAUUAAAUAUAGUUACAGCAUAAUAUUAGAAACAACAAAAAUGCAAACAUGGCAUUCAGAUUUCUCACAAAACACAUUUUUCUCCAGAUUAAAUUUUUUUUAUUCAGAUAUAUUAUUUGUAUAUCUUUAUGGGGUGAAUCACAGCAAUUCAAUAUAUGUAUACAAGUUUUAUCAUGCAAUAUUAACUUUACUUCCAGAGGUCACUAGAGUGUAAUCUCCCUUUAGUCUUUUAUGAUUAAUGACUUUGAAUAGAAUUCAUAUUCUAUUCUUUGAAUAGAAUUCACUACUGUGUCAAGAGAGACUGUCUCUGUAUACCCUUCAAGAAUGGGGACAUUCUAGCAUUUCAAACAGACAUUGAUGCAGGACAGAUGAGGCUUAUCAACUGUGGAAUUUUGGGGAAGAAGGCUUAUUUAAGUUGCAGCAAUCCAGAGGGACUAAUGCCAAAAAGUCUCUGGACCCCAGGUAUAAAAAUUAUCUGAGAUUUAUACUCAGUUAAACAACAGGGUAGUUAAUAUAACAGUUACUUUUUCUUCAGUGUUCUUAGGUUAAACAGAGAUUUCACAACUUUUUACUAAGAAAACAGAAACAGUAACUUUUGUACAUCAAAAAGCUUGAUUGCAGACUUAUUUUCAGGUGUAGAUGGGCAAAAUACCUUUAUUAUUUAUUUAUUUUUAUAUGGUACUGAGAAUCAAAAGCAGUGACCCACACAUGCUAGGCAAGUGCUUUACUACUGAGGAACAACCCCAGCCCUGCUGACCUAACAUUUACAAGAAAGAGAAAUCUGACCUUUACAACAAAGAGGAGCUCAAACCACAAUGAGCUCUCUAGAAGUCCUGUUAACUUUUUAAAAAAUAUCUUCUUCGCUAGGAGAAAAGCUUGUAUGUUACAAUUGGUGUGGGUCUUUUGGGGACUUCAUCAUUUGGAGUCUUUUGGGGACUAUACCAUUACUCCCUUUGAUACUCAUUAUUUAAUCUUUUAAAUCAAAGGCCAUUAUUAUCUUCUUGGUUUAAAGCUUUAUGUGAUGUCAUAUCUUAGUUUCUCUCUCUCUCUCUCUCUCUCUCUCUCUCUCUCUCUCUCUCUCAUCCUCUUAUAGAGUAGACCUAAUAGUUUUUUAAAAAAAUAUUUUAUUUUUUUAAUUUUAGGUGGACACAAUAUCUUUAUUUUAUGUGGUGCUGGGGAUCGAACCCAGUGCCGCAUGCAUGCCAGGUGAGCGCACUACCACCUGAGCCACAUCCCGAGCCCAGAUAUAAUAGUUUUAAUGUAAAGGGAAGACAAACAUGGAAGAAAUAAACAAGUUAAUAGCAUAAUCUCUACUAUGUCAAUUAUAAUUUUGAAUCCACCAAGAAUAGAAAACCAUCCUCCAAGUAGUGAGCUUGGAUCCUAAUCCUUAAUGCCCUUUGAGAUUUGAACUGGUACAUGUACUAGUUUUCUGAUAUUGUUAGCUAUGUGUUUUAUUGUUAUCAAUCCUGAAGUAAGCACCAAGGAAAGGACUAUGUCCAUGACAGAAGUAAUGAAUCAUAGUAUAAGAGCCAUCUCAGCAGAUGAAACAGUUCAUUUGUCCUGCUGGUUAGUUUAUUUUCUACCCUCCAUUGAUCAGCCAGCCCCAAGUGGCUCAGGCAGGGCUAAUGUUUCCUCAAGCAGGUGUGCGCAGGCUAGUCAGGUUCCAGAGUGACUAGAGCAGGGAUGGUGUUCUUCUGAUUCUCAAGCUUGUCUGCUGUUUCCUUCUUCCUAAUGGUCAGCUGAAGGGCUGCAAAUUAAGGUGGGAAAGCUGCUAAAGAAUGUGUAUGACAAUAUAAGAUUAUAUUUUCAAAAAGUCCCAAAACAGGUCAAAAGGAACAAGAUAUUACAAAAUGUGUAUCUGUGUAUAUGUAUAUACAUAUGUUGAUAUAUUUGGUGACACUGUAAAGAAAACUAUGGAAUUGUGGACAGUCCUCCAUGUAUGUGUGGUAGAGCUGGGGGAUAUCCCAGGAGGCUUAAACUACAUAGAUUUAUCUUAAUGUAAUUUUAAACAAAUUUGAAAACAGCCUAUAAUUUUAUGAGCCUGACCCAACAUUUCAUGCUUUAGCUUAUGAUCUCCCAUAUAUUAUUAUUUCAUCUAAAAACAUGAAGUAAAUUUAAAUUUCCUACCUCAGAGGUCAGUUUUCUUUCAAAGGUGCAUUUCUAAGUGUAUCGCAUUUAAUCUCGGCAUAUAUUUCUUCAGGGAAAUAAUGCCAAAAGCCUUCCUGGUUCCCAAAUUGAGGUAGUGCUCAACAGCUUAAUUUACCCCUGGCUUAUCAUUCUCACCAUCUUUAUUCUACAAGAUGCAAAACCAAGGUUGUACCUAGUUCUGUACUCUGGUCAAAAUCACCCAGUUAAGAGGGAUUUGGGUCCAGCUGUACCAACUCUGAAAACUUUGCCUUUCCUCACACUACCCUUUAGCAAGACAAAACUUACUAACUUAUAUUUUUCCUUUCUUGAUAAAUCUUUUGGAAGCAGCUCAUGUUAGGCUAAAUUUGAUAGAUCUAGGGGAGUAUUUUCCCAAGAGACUGCUUUUCCCCAAUCCAGGUUUAUGGAGUCUGGUCAGUCAGGCUGUCCCCCAACUGCUGCAAUGUACCUAGGCUUCUCAAUACUGCCCAUAGGCCCAUUGCCCAUCAGCCCUGUCUCCAGGACCCAGAGUCCUGUUCAGGAAGGAGUGGGGUGGGGGCGUGGGAGAAGGGACAAGGGUGGUAAAUUCAGGAGAAAGGACAAGAGGGUUCUCCCAGAGCAGCCGGAGAUCCCUUCCCAGCUUGCCCCACAGGGUCAAAGUCCAGACCUGGCCUCUCACCAGCUGGCUGAACCCACCUAGCCCAGCAUACUGCCUGCUGCGAGGACUGCAACCUUUAUUUAAAGUACUUACUUGUUUUCCUUGGAUGAAUUCUCUGAGUUAGCACCACAAUUCCUCAAGGGUCUAGAAGGACUGGUGGCUAGUCCUAGGGGCGGAAAGGCAGGUGGCAUGCAGUAGACGCUAGCGAGGCCACUGUCAUGUAGAAUGCCCAGCUUCCCCAGCUUCUGCUAUCUUGGGCAAAACAGCAGCAGCCUUGGGGCUGAGUUGCUGUAGCAGCAGCAGCAGCAUCACCGAAUGGUGGCCUCUGGUGACAGCAAUAAGCAGCUGCUUCCUGCAUAGGGAGUUGAGCAUUGGCGUUGGGGCAUCUGUGGAGGCAUCAUCUGGAUGGUUUGGGAGUGUGUUUGCAAGGUGGUCCAGUGGUGGUAUCAGUGAAAGAGUCCAGAAGUGUGGUGGGGGCAACAGAGGCUUCCAGCCAUAAGCAGUUUUGUCCUGCAUUGCUAACAGGAGUCCCGCUGCAGUUGCAAUAAAGUUCGGCAUCCAGUACUGAGUAUCACUGUCUGGCAUCCAUGUUGGAGUCUGGUGGCAGAAACAUGGAGCUCCAAAGUCUGGUGUGGCAGUAGCAACAUGCAGCUGCAUCAGGGUCUGGUGUCAAAUAUAGGACCUCGGGGGUGUCACCAUGGAGUGACGUGCAUUGACGUUGGGGCAUAGGUGGGCAGCGUAGGUGUCCAGCUGGGGUUUGGGAGUUCAGUUUAUGUGUGAUGGUGGUGGCACCAGAGAGUCCGGAAGCUGAUGCAGUGGCAACAGAGGCAUCCAGCCCUGAGUGUCUUCAUCCUGCAGCAGUGACAGGAGUCUGGCUGCAGUGGCAGUGAAGGCAGCAUUUAGCAGCCAUGUGGGGAGUCCAGUGNNNNNNNNNNNNNNNNNNNNNNNNNNNNNNNNNNNNNNNNNNNNNNNNNNNNNNNNNNNNNNNNNNNNNNNNNNNNNNNNNNNNNNNNNNNNNNNNNNNNNNNNNNNNNNNNNNNNNNNNNNNNNNNNNNNNNNNNNNNNNNNNNNNNNNNNNNNNNNNNNNNNNNNNNNNNNNNNNNNNNNNNNNNNNNNNNNNNNNNNNNNNNNNNNNNNNNNNNNNNNNNNNNNNNNNNNNNNNNNNNNNNNNNNNNNNNNNNNNNNNNNNNNNNNNNNNNNNNNNNNNNNNNNNNNNNNNNNNNNNNNNNNNNNNNNNNNNNNNNNNNNNNNNNNNNNNNNNNNNNNNNNNNNNNNNNNNNNNNNNNNNNNNNNNNNNNNNNNNNNNNNNNNNNNNNNNNNNNNNNNNNNNNNNNNNNNNNNNNNNNNNNNNNNNNNNNNNNNNNNNNNNNNNNNNNNNNNNNNNNNNNNNNNNNNNNNNNNNNNNNNNNNNNNNNNNNNNNNNNNNNNNNNNNNNNNNNNNNNNNNNNNNNNNNNNNNNNNNNNNNNNNNNNNNNNNNNNNNNNNNNNNNNNNNNNNNNNNNNNNNNNNNNNNNNNNNNNNNNNNNNNNNNNNNNNNNNNNNNNNNNNNNNNNNNNNNNNNNNNNNNNNNNNNNNNNNNNNNNNNNNNNNNNNNNNNNNNNNNNNNNNNNNNNNNNNNNNNNNNNNNNNNNNNNNNNNNNNNNNNNNNNNNNNNNNNNNNNNNNNNNNNNNNNNNNNNNNNNNNNNNNNNNNNNNNNNNNNNNNNNNNNNNNNNNNNNNNNNNNNNNNNNNNNNNNNNNNNNNNNNNNNNNNNNNNNNNNNNNNNNNNNNNNNNNNNNNNNNNNNNNNNNNNNNNNNNNNNNNNNNNNNNNNNNNNNNNNNNNNNNNNNNNNNNNNNNNNNNNNNNNNNNNNNNNNNNNNNNNNNAAAAAAAAAAAAGAAAAGAAAAGAAAAAGAAACAGUAACUUAGUCAGGGGUGGUGGCACAUGCCUGUAAUCCUAGCAGCUUAGGAAGCUAACGCAAGAGGAUUGGGAGUUCAAAGCCAGCCUCAGCAAAAGUAAAGCACUAAGCAACUCAGUCAUACCCUGUCUCUAAAAUAAAGUAUAAAAAAGGCUGAGGAUGUGACUCAGUGGUUGAGUGCCCCUGUGUUCAUCCCUGGUACCCCCCAAAAAAAGAAAGAAAAUGCUAUUAAAAGAAAAGAAACAGUGACUUACUUUCUCCAAAAAUCAGGUGAUACCAGUCACAAAGGCUAAACCUGCCCCUAACAGGUAUAAUACCAGAUAUGUAGGACCCCAGUAGACCUCCAGGAACUGAAUCUGAUGCAAUCACACAAGAGUCUUUAUUGCAAGCUCUAGCCUGGACUCACAACUGUUUCCAAUGCAGCAGUCCCUAGGAGUGAGCCCUGGUCCUUUGUUCAGUGAGAUUUUAUAGGGUUUUUGGGGAUACUCUAUGUGUCACAAGAUCACACAGUGAAUCAUUUCAUAUCACGGGAAAAUCAAACAACAACUCUUAACAUUGAUUAGCACAUUUAUUGACAGGAACAAGUUGGGUAGGGGUGAUUGCUUGGUACAAGAGGGGGGAUUCAUUUGAACUGACUGGUUUAAGCCAUGAGGGGUGUACGUGCUAAACUACAUGGUUUCCCAACAUGUUAUCAAUCACCGAGACUACUGGAGGAGUCAUCUGGAACCCCAGGUAUUUUCCCUGGCUCAUGCUGAUUGGUGGUUGAUAGGGGGUUGCUAUGGGUCCUCACCUAGGUAACUGAGUCAGGGACACCUGGCACUGCAGAUCUCUCCUGUUAUUUACAGACAAAGAACUCAGCAAGGUGGCUAUGUGCCUAGGAAUGCUCUAUGGAUUUUCCCAAGGACAAAGGUCAUGCCCCCUACCUCUGGACAGGCCUUGAGGUAGAAGCUGGUUUCUCAAAAAUAGAGUCACAUCAGUUUCUCACAGGCAGCCAUGAUUCUGGCUUGUAAAAGAUAAUGCUCAAGGGGGAGUUGCUGCUGCUCUCACUUUCCUUUGCUUUCUCCCACUUGUUGCUGCUCUCCCUCUCUUGUUGUUCUCUCUGUGCAAGACAGACAUUGUCAGGUUCCUGACAAUAAGUCUGCUUAUGCCUCUGUAGUUGGUGUUCCUGUGUGGUCAGUCCUGCACCACUUUUCUUUCAUUGAUGCCAGUGACUUGGAUACAGGCUCUGAGACAAACUCUCCUCUUGACCCUUUGGGGAUUUGAGCUGCUUCAGGAUUCUGGGCUGAAGGCCUAGGACACUUCCUUCCAUUCACUGAGGGCUCUUUCUGUCUCCCCACACUGGCCUUAUUUGGAUAAGUGACCUUGCCCUUUACCUCCCAUCCUCCUUACACUUCUCCACUCUGGAGACUUACUAAACUUAAGUCUUGGCUCAGCACCAAGACUCACUACAAGUGACCUACUUUCCCAUUUCUCCCCCUUGGCGAGUUUCUACUCCAGUCUUGGCUCUAUUCUAUUUGGGCCUACAUGGCUAUCUGGGAGAGCUACAAAAGCCCUGAUACCAGGCACCAAGACCCUUGACAGGCUUCACAAGCCUGGGACUAGUGAAGUACUGGGUGAUAACCCCCUUCUCUCAGUCCCAGAAAGGGUUUAGCCCUGGGUCAGUGAAUCAUGUGUUGACAACCCCUCUUCACUCUUGUCCCUUCUUAUUCUUCUCUGUUUUGUCCUAGAGCCAGGGACGCCUGCUUCUAGCCACUCCAACACUCCAACUUGCCAUGGGUAUCUCUCAAUCCAAAACCCCAUCUGACUCACCUAUCAGCUGCCUCCUCACCCCCUCCAUUUGGCUCCAGAUCUAAAGGCCCAUCAACUGAUUCAAUUUUCCACAAAGUCAUGGCCUUUCUAUGACUUGGACAAUGGAUACAAAUGGCCACCUAAUUGCACCUUCAUUCUUAACAUUUUUGGGGAUCUUUACAACUUUUGUGAGUGUUUGGAUAAAUGGAAGGAAAACCCUUGCAUGCAAGCAUUCUCUUUUUUCUAUUCUAAACAUUCCCUCUAUUCUUCUUACUCUCUGUGUCAGUCCUGCUGCCCUACAUAAGUUCUCCUUGCUCACUCUCCCUUAACCCUUUCCCCAUCCCAAUCCUACCAGGUUUCCCCUUUUUAACCCACAAGAUCACUUUUCACUUUCUCAGCUUCCACUCUAUAUUGCUCUGCUGCCCCACCCAGCCACACUUCAUCACCUUACUCAGAUGCACCUUCACCACAUAGGGAAUCUACCUUUCUCCUGACCUCAACACCACAUCUCCUACUCCCACCUCUUCUUCUCCCUCUUUCUUCCCUCCUCAUACUCCCCACCUGACAACUUCAACAGCUCCCCUCACUCUCUUAAUGGUACCACUCACUCUUCCUCUUCUCCACUAAUAAAGUUUCAUAAAUUUUUACAUCCAAAUAUGGCCUAAUUACCGACUGGGAAAUAGAGUAAGGUUAAAAAGACAUAGGCAGCAAUCUCCCUGGCAAGGAUACACUGAAGCUAAUAUUGAAAUACAAAGUCAGACUCAGCAGGCUUGAUAAGAGGCCUAAGACUAAAGAAAAAAAAAAAAAAAAGUCAAUUUAAUUUUUUCCUUAGCUGCAACACAGAAAACUGACUUCAAACUCACUCUUUCUCUCUCUCACUCUCUGUCUCAUUCUCUCAUAUUGAUUUAAUAAAAUAAUUAAUGACCAUAUCAUUUUUUCUAGGACUCUUCUUUUUUUAAAAAAAAUUCUAUAUUAUUGAACUCAUAAUUUUGAUCCUGCAUGCCUAAAUUAUAAUUUAUGUUCAGACCUAUUUUAUGCAACUAUAAAAGUUUUUUUAAACUCUGCUUUGCUCAGAGGCCAAUUUACAAAGGUUAAUUCUUAAUCUAAUAAAUUUUAAAAGUUAUAAGGCCUUUACUUAUUUGUUCUAUGUACUGUCUUGUCUAUAUGUCUGUCCAUCAGAACCAAUAUACAGAGCACUCAUAAACUAAAAUUCAAAAAAUGGAUCUAAAUACCUUUGAUUCACGAUUUAAAGUUCAACUUAAAUUAGAUAAACAAAAAAGGUAAUGAUGUCUUCAAAAUCACUAAUGCAGAUGAUCAGACAAUGGAAAAUCUCAUUUUCUAUUUAAUGUUUUAAAUAUAAUGCCCAUUGCUUCUAAUGUCCAUUGCUUCUUAUAGGACUUUUUCUUCAAUAACAACAACAACAAAAAAUGCCUUAGAAUGGUAACUAAACUUGGUUUUCAUGGGUAACCUAAUUUAAAAUGAAUGAAUCAGAUUUAACAUAAAUAAGAUAAACAUUAUAAAUAUGAUUUUUAUAAAUUGUUGUUCAAUAAAAAGUUUAAGAUCUCUUUAUUUCUGGUCUUACUAAAACCAAGAUGAUUAAAGGUUAAAAUUCUACAUUCAUACAUGUUCUAAAAACUCACAAGAUGAUAAAAUACUGUAUUAUUUUAACCAAGUGACACCAGACUUUAGACUCCUCAAGGUCAACACUCCUGGACUCUGGACUCUGAGAAUCAUGCCAGCAAUGAGGGAGAAGAAGCCUCUGAGCCAGCUGUAGUGGGUUCCACUCUUCCAUCUUCCCUGCAUCCUUCACCAUUCUCUGCUCUAAGCCUUUCCUUUGCCCUUCUUGCUCUCCUGCCCAGCUGUUACUUGCCACAGAGGUCUUCCAGAGACCCUAUUCCUACACAAACAAAGGACCCAAACCCUCCUUUCAACCCCACUGAUGAGCCUCCCCCUUACUGAGUUCCACUAAGCCCACCUGCUCCCUCCACACCACCAUUCCAAACACCCUUCAGCCCUCCCAUUACCCAAUCUCACACAGCCAUUUGAGAGCCUGCCCUUUUACUCCCUCUUCAGGAAGUGCUGGGUCUGAGGAGGUAGGCAGAGUUCAUGUGCCCUUCUCUCUAGGUGAUCUCUUCCAAAUCAAGAGACACCUAGGAUCAUUUGCCUCCAACCCUAACACAUCUACCAAGGAGUUACAGUACAUAACAUAGGCCAAAAUCUCACCUUUAAUAAUAUGCACGAGAUCCUAUCCAACACCCUCCUCCCAGAGGAGUAUAGAUAAGUCUGGGAACAAGUCUGAAACUAUGAAGUCCACCAAUUGAGACUAAAAAAUUUCCUUAGGGGCCAAACAAGAAGGAACAAUUUAUUACCUGCUUACUGACAGGUUUAAAAGGGCAGUUCAUAAAGCCAUCAAUUAUGAUAGACUCCAAGAGGUCAUCCAAGAUAAAAAUGAAAACCCCUCUUCCUUUUUAAACCACCUGAAUCAGGCUCUACUCCAAUACACCAAUUUGAUCCCAAGUCACUUGAUGGUCAGAACUUACUCAUGACCUAACUUCCCAACAUUAAAGCUAAACUUAAAAAGUUGGAGCAAGGUCCCCUUACCCCAUAGGCUCAAGUGCGUGAGGUGGCCUUCAAGGUGUACAAUGGCAGAAAAGAAAAGGUGCACCAAGCUAAAUAUCAAAUGCUAACCAAAACAUUUCAACAACCUUCCACUACAAUCACUACCCCUAUAACCCACAGAAGACCCCCUGGAUCAUGCUAUAGCUGUGGUCAGUUGGGCCAUUGAGCCAAAUCUUAUUCCAGUCCUUGCCAACCUCCUAGUCACUGUACUAAAUGCCACCAGGUGGGCCAUUGAGCUGUUGAUUGCCCUUUUGCCCAGUGAGGCAGGUGGUCACACAGCCCCAUCACAACACAAGCAGAACCUCUGAGACUAGCUAUGGAUGACUGAUGAGGACUGGGAUACCAACAUUGAACUAAUGCCAGAACCCAGGUAACCAUUGUAGUAGCAGGUAGGCUCAUCACUUUCCUUUUGAACACCAGGCUACAUUCUCAGUACUUGUCCACCUCUACUUCUAUGACCUCCAUUGUCGUGGUGGGAGGCAAAUCAUAUCAACCACUAAGAAUGCCACCUCUUACAUGCUCAUUCACGAGAUCCCUUUCUCCCACUCUUUCCUCAUUAUUCCCCAAUGCCCCACUCACUCCCUUACUAGGUCUAGAUAGAUCUCUUAAGUAACUAUAGCUCAUCCAUUUCGUUUAAUCUUCCAUGCUGUACUCUCUCCAAGACGUAUCCCCAUUCCAACUCCUACUCCUCCUAUCACUUACAAUAACUCCCUCAUCAAUACUCUUGCCCCCAUCCUUGGUCAAUCCCCAGAUAUGGGACAUACACAACCCCUCUGUAGCCACACACCAAGAGACCAUCCACAUCACACUCAAAAACCCAUCUCUUUCCACUCCAAUCCCAAUAACCACUAAAAUAGCCUUAGGGGACCCAUCAAUUCUCACCUCCUAGUCAAAGGCCUAUAUCCUGCAGACUCCCCUCAUAACACACCCAUUCUCACCAUCAAGAAAACCCUCAGGUGCCUUCCAUUUGGUCCAAGACUUUGCAUCCAUCAACAUAGCAGUAGUCCCUUUACACCCCAUUGUUACAAAUCCAAACACUGUCUUGUCCUCCACCCCUGCCUCCACAACACACUUUUCUGUUCUAGACUUUAAGGAUGCCUCUUUACCCAUUCCCUUACAAAAAGAUUCUAAAGCCCUCUUUGCUUUUACCGAACUGACCUAGACACCCAGGUAUCCAUUCAGCUUACAUGGACAGUCCUUCCUCCGGGUUUUAGAGAUAGCCUCCACCUUUUUGGACAAGCCUUAGCCUGAGACCUCAUCUACCUAUCUUUGUCACCAUCAUUCCUCCUCUAAUACAUGGAUGACCUUCUUGUAGAUGACCUUCUUUUCUGCAGCCCUUCUGUAUACCAUAGUAAAACCUACACAGCCAAAUUAUUAAAAUUCUUGGCCUAGCAAGAAUAUCUCAUCUCCCCCUCUAAGGUUCACCUUUCUCUUCCCACAGUCACUUACUUGGGCUUCCAAAUAACCCUGCCCACAAGGCCAUCACAGUGGAUCCCAAAAUCUUAUUUCUCACCUUCCUGUUUCUACUACCAUGGCUGAAGUACUCUCAUCGUUCUUGGGACUAACAGGAUACUUUAAGACAUGGAUACCCAGUUACUCUUUGCUGGCCCGACCCCUUCUCAGUGCCACAAAUCCUCCCUUGAAGAGCUCCUCAUCAUACCCAUCAACACUUCCUUUUGGGCCCUCCACCAAGCCCUCCUACAGGCCUCAGCCCUUCACUUACCCAACAUUGGGAAAGCAGUGGCAUUUCUCUCAAAGGCCUUUGAAUAGCAAUGGCAUUUCUCUUAAAGCACCUUGACCCAACAAUACAACAAUACACCUUGCUUUGGGGUAAUAGCCUCCUCAGUCAUUUUAAUCCAGGAGUCAAAACAAAAGAAACCUAGCAUUUGGGUCACCUCUAAUAGUCCUCUCCCCUCAACACUUAACUGAAUUACUCUCCUAUAAGGGUUCUCAGACUCUGCCCCCUUCCCAUAUUUUUUCCCCUUCAGAUCUCACUGAUUGAGGACCUCACUCUAACCUUCAAAACAUGCCCACCGCUCAGUCACUUUACUCUACUUUCUCCUCCUAAUGACUUUAAUCUUCAUCAACUUCUCCAUUCCAGUUACUCCCCUAUCCCUCCCAUAUUCAGGAAGAACCCUUGCCAACUCCCUCAUACACUUGGUUCAUGGAUGGGUGUUCCUUUUCUCAUGAUCACCACAGCUUUAGAAGUGAUAGAGUGUAACUCCCUACCCCCCAGCACCACCAAUCAACAAGCAAACUUAAUAGCUCCAACCCAAGCAUUCACCCAAGCUAAGAGUUAAUCUUUGAUCAUUUAUACAGAUUCUAAAUAUUGCUUUCAUAUAUUAUUAGCUCAUGCAGCAAUAUGGAAAGAGUAAGUACUCAUGACUACCAAAGGCUCCUCCAUCAUCAACACUUCAUACAUCAAUGCCCUCCUAGAAGUCUCCCUUCUCCCUUCUAUAGGCAUAGUACUUUGCAAAACCAUCAGUGAGAUAAUUCCAUUAUUACAGCAGGUAGCAACCUGGCAAAUCAAAUGGCCCACAGGCAGCUCUAUACCCACUCCCCAACAAUGAAUCCAACACCAUUCUCCUUUCUACACCCCAGACACUUCCCAAAACACAUCUGCACCCCCAAUACCACACAAGAUACCUAUCACAUCCUCACCUAUCUACACCACUUACUUCACCCUAAAUUCUCUUCUUUAAGAGACUUUAUCAAACAAUUUUUAAUUGUCACCACAGACCAUAUCAAAUUCUUCCAGGACCUCUCUUCAUUCUGAGAGAGAUGUAAAAACAAAACAAACAAACAAAAAACUAAUCCUUCCUCUAACAUUUCAUCCUCCCAUCCCAAUGCAGUUACUCCACCUAAUGGCUUGUCCCCUAAAUGGAUGGGACCAUAUGAAGUUACUCUUACCACCUCAACUGCCGCCAAUCUUAAGGGGUUCCCCAACUGGAUACACAUUUCAGCUCUCAAAACCUGCCCUCACCUUCACUUCACUGCAAUGCCCACAGGGCCACUCACCUUGUGGCUCAAACAGACAAAAGCCUCCAAACUUCACCUGGUAUCAGAACAACUCAAAGACCAUACAACCCCAGAUAAGUGACUCCCUCUUCCCUUCUCAUUACUAUCAAUUUCUUCUCAUCCUAUGGACAGAGCUGGCCUCUGACCCAGGACUUCCAAGGCCUAUGACUCCCACUUUCCUCUUCUAGCUCCUUCAGGACUUACAUUUUUAGGGAUCCUUUUCCAACUUCACCCCAACUAAAAUUUACCUCUUUUCUAAAUGCCAUUCUCUGCCUAGCCUUCUGUUACCAUGUGUUUUCAAGUUUUUACAGAAAACCAUCAUGGAAAGGACUAAGACCUACACCAAUGAAGUGAUCAAUAAGAUGCUUCUGGGAUAAUAUGCUCACUUGAAAGAAGAAACCUCCCUCUAGGACCUGUCUCUGCCCCAUCACCACCCCCAUGCCAGUAGGAAUUAGCCAUAAGAAGAAGAGACCUCCAUCCAUAAGCCACCCUAAGCCCUAGUAUUAAAAAAGGGAGGAAUGUUGACAUAACUACAGCCAUUUUCCUUUUCCCACUCCCACUCUAUGAACACUGUUCUUUUUCUCAAGAGAUAAAGACCAGCAGGUCUCUGUUCUCUCCUUGAGAGAGAAAAUAUUUCUCUUCUCUCUUCUAAAGAAACAGUAACUUGCCUUCUGAAAAAUCAGGUGAUGCUUGCUGUGCCAGUCACAAAGGCUAUACUCGCCCCUAACAGGAGGCCAUGAUUCUGGCCUAUAAAAGGUAAUGCUCAAGGGGGAGUUGCUGCUGCUCUCCCUCUCCUGCUGCUUUCUCUCACUCAUGUCACUCCCCUCUCUGCAUGAGACAGACUUGUCAGGGCCUGACAAUAAUUCUUCUUAUGCAUCUAUAAUUGGUAUUCCUAUGGUCAGUCCUGCACAACUUUUCUUUCACUCCCACCAUCCCCAGCCACAUCCCACAUGGGCUGUGGGGCAGAGAGCAGAUGACCUAGGACAUCUUCAUUCUCAAAGCACAUUGCUGUGGGUGAAGGCAACAGAAGACCAAGACUGAGGGCUCUGCACCUUCAGGGUCCCUCUGCUGCCUAUGCCCUCCACACUCCUCCCACCACAGGGAUGUGCUUUCUGGAUUAGAUGUGCUAGCCCUCACCCUUCCAAAGCUCUCUCCCCCCACAAUCCAUGGAAAAUGUGUCUGGGGAAGGGGGUUCAUCUCCAAAUCCUGCCUCAGCUGACAGCUGGCCUACUCCCCCUGCAGAGGCCAAAACCCAGGGAGGAACAGGGCAAACUGGGGGUGGGGGCAAUCAGACACCCAGUGGGCUCAAGGACAGUAGCAGGCAGGGAAGGCGUGGGCAGAAUGAGGUUCUCAGAGGCUAUCUGGGUAUCACUACCUCCCAUGUUCUACUUCCUGAGCAGGCAGGCCCUGCCAGGAGCAAGACCAGUUGUCUGGAGCAGCCACUGCAGCCUACCAGCCUCCAGUUGCCCUCUGGCUCUGAGGCCCGCUUCCCCCAUGCUUUUGCUGUCACUGCAGCCAGAGCUCCAUGCUGCAGCAACUGGAGUUUCAACAUGGCCACCAGCAAUGCCAUCUUCACUGCCGUUGCACAGUAACCAGACUCCUACCACCACCAAAGGAUGAGGAAGCUCCUACCUGGAUGCCUUGCUUGCCGCUACCACUUCCAGACCCCUCAGUUGCCUUUGCCACCACUGCCAUAACCAAACUUCAGACACUGAAGCCUCCACGAAUGCCCAAUGCCAAGGCUGGACUUCCCAUUGCUGCUGCCACCCAUACAACUGGACUCCCCAAACCGCCUUUGGACACCUAGCCUUGCUGAUGCCUUCCUCGAAGAUAGAUGCCCCUGGUGCCAGAUCCUGGCACUGCCCCUUGUUGUUGGGCACCUCAAAUGUGGAACACUGUUGUGGAACACUGAGGAAGGUGCUAUACACUUUUGAGUCUCUGCAACCAGACUUCUUUCACAGCCACCAGAUGCCUCCACAGGUGCUGUCUACACCUCCAGGCUUGGAGAGAGUGGAAGGCAUCUCCUUCCAUGCCUCUGGCCUUUUCAUCCCUGCCAGAGGAUUAAUUCACUGACCAGUUAAGGCUCUCAUAACUGAAAAAUUUCACCUCUAAACUUUCUUGCAUUAUUAGUUUUUUGGGGAAACCUAGUAACUAAUCCAUAAUACAUCUUCAUCAAAUAGCUUAGCAAGAUCUUGUUAACUUGCUGUAGUUUCUACAUCAGCACUUGCUGCUUCACCUUGAACUUUUAUUUUAAGGAGAUGGGCUUCUUGCACCUUCAAACUUCUUCUGGAGCUUUCUCAUUUCUCUUGGCAUUAGAACAAUCUAGAUAUGGAUUUGANUCUGCCUAGCCUUCUGUUACCAUGUGUUUUCAAGUUUUUACAGAAAACCAUCAUGGAAAGGACUAAGACCUACACCAAUGAAGUGAUCAAUAAGAUGCUUCUGGGAUAAUAUGCUCACUUGAAAGAAGAAACCUCCCUCUAGGACCUGUCUCUGCCCCAUCACCACCCCCAUGCCAGUAGGAAUUAGCCAUAAGAAGAAGAGACCUCCAUCCAUAAGCCACCCUAAGCCCUAGUAUUAAAAAAGGGAGGAAUGUUGACAUAACUACAGCCAUUUUCCUUUUCCCACUCCCACUCUAUGAACACUGUUCUUUUUCUCAAGAGAUAAAGACCAGCAGGUCUCUGUUCUCUCCUUGAGAGAGAAAAUAUUUCUCUUCUCUCUUCUAAAGAAACAGUAACUUGCCUUCUGAAAAAUCAGGUGAUGCUUGCUGUGCCAGUCACAAAGGCUAUACUCGCCCCUAACAGGAGGCCAUGAUUCUGGCCUAUAAAAGGUAAUGCUCAAGGGGGAGUUGCUGCUGCUCUCCCUCUCCUGCUGCUUUCUCUCACUCAUGUCACUCCCCUCUCUGCAUGAGACAGACUUGUCAGGGCCUGACAAUAAUUCUUCUUAUGCAUCUAUAAUUGGUAUUCCUAUGGUCAGUCCUGCACAACUUUUCUUUCACUCCCACCAUCCCCAGCCACAUCCCACAUGGGCUGUGGGGCAGAGAGCAGAUGACCUAGGACAUCUUCAUUCUCAAAGCACAUUGCUGUGGGUGAAGGCAACAGAAGACCAAGACUGAGGGCUCUGCACCUUCAGGGUCCCUCUGCUGCCUAUGCCCUCCACACUCCUCCCACCACAGGGAUGUGCUUUCUGGAUUAGAUGUGCUAGCCCUCACCCUUCCAAAGCUCUCUCCCCCCACAAUCCAUGGAAAAUGUGUCUGGGGAAGGGGGUUCAUCUCCAAAUCCUGCCUCAGCUGACAGCUGGCCUACUCCCCCUGCAGAGGCCAAAACCCAGGGAGGAACAGGGCAAACUGGGGGUGGGGGCAAUCAGACACCCAGUGGGCUCAAGGACAGUAGCAGGCAGGGAAGGCGUGGGCAGAAUGAGGUUCUCAGAGGCUAUCUGGGUAUCACUACCUCCCAUGUUCUACUUCCUGAGCAGGCAGGCCCUGCCAGGAGCAAGACCAGUUGUCUGGAGCAGCCACUGCAGCCUACCAGCCUCCAGUUGCCCUCUGGCUCUGAGGCCCGCUUCCCCCAUGCUUUUGCUGUCACUGCAGCCAGAGCUCCAUGCUGCAGCAACUGGAGUUUCAACAUGGCCACCAGCAAUGCCAUCUUCACUGCCGUUGCACAGUAACCAGACUCCUACCACCACCAAAGGAUGAGGAAGCUCCUACCUGGAUGCCUUGCUUGCCGCUACCACUUCCAGACCCCUCAGUUGCCUUUGCCACCACUGCCAUAACCAAACUUCAGACACUGAAGCCUCCACGAAUGCCCAAUGCCAAGGCUGGACUUCCCAUUGCUGCUGCCACCCAUACAACUGGACUCCCCAAACCGCCUUUGGACACCUAGCCUUGCUGAUGCCUUCCUCGAAGAUAGAUGCCCCUGGUGCCAGAUCCUGGCACUGCCCCUUGUUGUUGGGCACCUCAAAUGUGGAACACUGUUGUGGAACACUGAGGAAGGUGCUAUACACUUUUGAGUCUCUGCAACCAGACUUCUUUCACAGCCACCAGAUGCCUCCACAGGUGCUGUCUACACCUCCAGGCUUGGAGAGAGUGGAAGGCAUCUCCUUCCAUGCCUCUGGCCUUUUCAUCCCUGCCAGAGGAUUAAUUCACUGACCAGUUAAGGCUCUCAUAACUGAAAAAUUUCACCUCUAAACUUUCUUGCAUUAUUAGUUUUUUGGGGAAACCUAGUAACUAAUCCAUAAUACAUCUUCAUCAAAUAGCUUAGCAAGAUCUUGUUAACUUGCUGUAGUUUCUACAUCAGCACUUGCUGCUUCACCUUGAACUUUUAUUUUAAGGAGAUGGGCUUCUUGCACCUUCAAACUUCUUCUGGAGCUUUCUCAUUUCUCUUGGCAUUAGAACAAUCUAGAUAUGGAUUUGACUUAAGAGAAUGUUGCUUGUUUCAUCUGUUCUCCAGAAGAUGAAAACUUUUUCUAUAUCAGAAAUAAGGCUGUUUUGCUUUCUUAUGAUUCACAUAUGCCCUGCAGCAGCACCUUAAUUUCCUUCAAGAACAUUUCCUUUGUAUCCUUAGUGUGAUUAACCAGUGCAAGAGUUACAGAUUUUUAUUUAGAGUGCAAAACAUGAGACUCUUCCUUUUAUUUAAACAGUAUAGGCCAUUACUGAGUUAUUAACUGUUCUAACUUCAAUAUUGUGUCUUAGGGAAUAAGAGGAUUGUGAGAUAUAAUCCAUAGAGCAAUAAUAACACACAUAUUAAUUUUGCUAUCUUAUAUGAACAGGAUUUAUAGUACCACAUGACAAUUAAAAUAAUGAAUAUCACAGAUCACAUAAGACAUAUAAUGGCCUGAAAUGCUCACCACAUUUUAGGCAGUUACCUCUUCCCCAUACACAGGGGCCUCUAUUUCACCUCCUCCAGGAUGGCCUGUAGGUGACAACCCCCAAAGGACUCAUGUUCUCUAUGGGGGCUCCAUCUUUACCUACAUAUUGUUGGUGGUAGCACAGCCUGGUGAAUGGAUUGAGCAGUGUUAUGUCAACAUAAAAUUUUGUGGCUAUAAUUACUGACAGUGUCAUCAUGAACAAUAAAAAAUUACCAUCACAAAAAAUAAAACAGGCAAUUUCACGGAAGAGUGGGCCUUCUCCAUGAUUAGCUUUCAAUACACCAAUGUCACUGUCAUGGUUGCAAACACCUGUGAUCGUAGAGGCUCAGGAGGCUGAAGAGAAGGAUUGUGAGUUCAAAGCCAGCCUCAGCAACUUAGCAAGGCCCUAUCUCUAAAUAAAAUAUAAAAAAAGGUCUGGGUAUGUGAUUCAGUGGUUAAACAUCCAUGUGUCCAAGUCCUGGUACCAAAAUAAAAAGUACACCAAUAUCUUGCAUGCCAUCUAUGCAUAUUUCCUUGGGUCUCUCAGAAACAUGUCACAUUACCCUAGUGCAGCUGGGCUAUAGACCAAACAGAAAGGCAGCAGGGAAAGAGACUCGGCCACAUGCUUGGGGUGAUGGGUUCCUGCUGACCUGAGAGACAGCCCAACAUAUCCUGACUAGAAGCAGCCCAGAUGCCAGGCCCCUCAAUCAAGCCAGUGUGUACUGAGUGUUGAGGACCCCCUUGGGGUGGGUCUACAGAAGCCUCUGAGAAAGCUGACCACCAGCUCUCACUUAGAACCUGUUUUCCUCAGCAGGUUUGGUGGGCAUUAUAUGUGCAAAUACCGAUGAAGUCUCUUAGACAUGCAGGAAAUUCACAGUAAGUGAACUGUGGAUGAGCAGGAGUCUAGUCCCAGGCUGGGCCAGGAACAAGAUGGUGGGCAGAGGGCUUGCAACUGCCCACUGAGCACCUGUGCAUGGGUCAGCUUCCUAGCCAGGCCCCCUGGUGGAAUUCUUUCAAGGGUGUGAAGAGAACAGGACUAUAGUGGAAGCACCCCAAGCUGUUCCCCUAAAAUUUUAUGUCACUUCCCCAGGCAGACCUGAGCAAAGCUCUCCAGGGGACACAUGACUGCCACAGGCUUGGGCAGGCACUGCACACAUGGAGAGCUAGGGAAAAGGUGGCAUUCUCACCCAAGCUCAGGAGUAGACACACCUUUGAGCACCCCUUUCCACUAGGGAUGGGAGACAUUUGCCUGUCCCUUAAGGAGAGAGGGCACCUAAGUUGGCAGCAGAGGGAGCAGAGCCAGAUGGGGAAAUAUAGGGGCUCCAGGGGACCUGAGCAGGGAGCAACUAGUUGCAAAAGACACCAGCAGUGUCCAGAGUCCUGUCUGUCUCCCCUCCGGGUUCUCAUGAGAAAGCUGCCACCUCAUUCCACCCACCUGCUGGGGUGGGCUGGAGCUGGUGCCCAAGACCCCUGCCAGAGUGCCCCGGCUAUCAGGGUCCCCAGGAGGCACAACCCUGGCCAGCUGCCCACCAAACUUCACACACACACACACACACACACACUGGCACUGCCAUAGAAGCCCAGACUGGAAAGCUUGCAGGUGGCCCCAGAAGCUGCCCUCCUAACUUCUUACAGAUUUGGACAGACCUCCAUCAGGACUAUGGGUCAGGGAAAUUGGAAGCACAGGAUUGAAGCUGAGAAUAGCUGGCUGGGAUCUGAUCGCCUCUCUCUAAUAAAAUGGGCACAACUCAGACAUCAGGUGGGAAUGAUUCCUGCCCCACCUUCCCUGGGACUGAAAAGACUCCAGGAGGGGAGGAAUCUAAGGAUUGGCUCAGGCCUGAAACAUGGUGACCAACAGUGAGGAAGGCUGUUUGGAGAAGCAGGGCCCACAGAGGCCAAAGGUGUUGACUGUCUAGCCACCAGGCCACAGAUGGGGACUGUAGGGCAGACACUUCUCCUGGGGCUGUGGGAGCAGCGCUCAAGAGUCUCAGUUUUUUCCUGCACAGCCUUAUAGGCCACCAUGAACUAAGUGUACCACAGGUUGUAGGGGCUAGGAAUAUUAUUGAACCUCUUAAUAAAUCAAGUCAAACUAAAUAGACUUUCCAGUUUACCUGCUGGCCUCUGUGCUUCUUCCCAGCACCCCACCCCAACCUGCCUAGAAACCCAGAGGGAGUGGCUUCCAGCAGUGGAUUAGCUGGCUCCAGGGUUUCACCUAAAACCCCUCAGGGCUCUCCUAUGACCUCAGGAACUCCAGCCAGGGCUGGAGUGGCCUGUAUGAUCUGUCCAAGGCCAGCUUCAGUCUACCCCACCCCCAGACACUGGGCUGCUUGAGAGGGUCAAGCUGGGUCCCUUGGCCUCUUCCUCAACAUCUCACUAGAGCCAUGGGCCUCCUGGAGCCAACCCUGCAGGGCCUCUGAGCCAGCUCAGGCUGCAGGGAAUGAAUCUUCCCCUUAUAUCCCUAGCACACUCCCCCAGAAGAGUGCCUGAAGGGCUUUGCUUGGAGCUCUGUGUCCUGGUAGGGACAGCUGAGUGCAGGUUAUAAUUCAGGCUUCUGCUCUGUGUGCUGGGAUAAGUUACUUCACCUCUAUGUGCCUCUUUCCCCAUCAGUGGGAUGGUAGGAUCAGUAUCUCCAGAAUAAGCUGUGUGUUUGGGGGGCAGGAGGGUGUGUCUCCACUUUCCCCUCCAGGCACAGUGCCCCCACUGCAGACACCUCUCUCUUGCCCAAGGAAGCCCAUUCUCUAGUCCCUCAGAAAGGUGAGGAACUUGGGGCACCACCAGGGGCCUGUGUAGGGUGUGGGCUCACUGACCUGGCCCACCUGCCCCAGCAGCAACCCAAGCAGCCCAGUGGUUCCCACUGCACUCCCCUGGCCAGGCACCUGGUGGAGUUUUGUCAAUUACUAAUGACAGCAGAGGUGGCUGCACUGGCAUGUGGGUGAGUGGCAGGUGGGUGGUGGGCGAGGAGUGUGGAAGGAUGGCACAGCCUGCUCCCUGCCUCCCAGCCAGGGGACCAAGCCCCUCAGCUUCUGACACCAGAGGCCAGUGUGGGCUGGUGGUGAGGUCCUGCUUGCCUAGCUGGCUUCCUCCCUUUCUUAGGCUCCUCCCCACCUUGCAGAGGGCACCCUAGGUAGUGGCAGGCCUGGGGAGCAAGUUGAGGGCCAGGACAGAGCAGAGAGACCAAGGGCACCUGCAGGAGGGGAAGGAGGACACUGGGGAGCUCAGACCCAGGAAAAGGCCUGGCUGUCUGCGCUCCUGCCCAGGCUGCAGGGAGCUGGGCAUGGAAGGCAGCUUGGGUGCUUUGGGUUUUGUUUUUGGUGAUUUAAAUUUCCUUUGUGUUUUGUUCUAAACAAAGUGAUAAAUGUGCACAGUUUGGAUGAUCAGAUAGUUCUGUAGGGCUUGGGAUGGAACCCAUCUCCUCUUCUGUAGCUCCCUACUUUCUCCAUCCUCCUCCUGGUAUUUAGACUGGUUCUUUUAAUAUUUACUUCUCAGUAGCAAUGUUGCUUCUGCUUUUUCCUUUUCUUUUCAGAUUUAGAAAUUACCCAUCAAUAUCCUGCUAUGGAGGGUCAAAGUUUGUUCUCUCAUGGAGGCCAGAUGCACACACAUGUGUGCACAUACACAGUACAGUCUUCCUGAUUCCUCCCAUCCUCAUGAAUCAGGAUUCAGUGUGUAGGAGAUGUUUCUUUGCAUACAUUGGUCACUGCUGAGUAAUACGUUGUAAUUAAUCUCUGUACAACUUCUUUUUUUUCCUUAAUAAUUGGGGGGGUGUUAUUCUCUGUGUACGUUACUUAUUUAUCCCCAAACCCUGCCGUGGAAUAUGAAUCAUUUUUUGUACUGAAAAUAUCAGGCCAUCUAUGCGCUUAUGUUUUUUCCUGGAGCCUGUGAUAGCCAGCCUCCAAGAUGGCCCAGUGAUCUGCCCUCCAGGAACUUGUGUCCCUGUCCUACUGCAUGACACAGGAUGGGUCUAUAUGACCAACAGAGUACGGCAGAAGCCAUGGCUCUCUCCCUGGCUCCAGGUUUAGGUUACACAGCACACUGUAUCUCUUGUCUUGUUGGUGGACAUAUUUUCUCUCUCUCUCUCUCUCUCUCUCUCUCUCUCCCUGUCUCUCUCCCUGUCUCUCUCCUCUUUAUUUCCCUCUUCCAUUCUCUCCCUGUCUCCAUUUCUCCCUCUCUUUUUCUCCCCAACUUUCCUCUUCCUCUCUGCUUUUCUCUCUCUCCCUCUCCUCUUUUACUUUCUUUCUUUCUUUCUCUCCCUCUUUCUCUCUCCUUCUCCCUGUCUUUAGCUACCUCUACCUUUUUCUGUCUCUCCCCUCUUCCUCUCUGACUUCUUCUCUUGCUCUUUUCAUUUUCUUUGAGGGAGGUCCCCUGCCCCACCAUGAGCCACUCUGUGAAUGGGUCUACUUGGCUAGGAUUGUAAGCAUCCUGCCAUUAGCCAUGCUAGGAUACUGUUUUGGAAGUGGUCUUUCAGCCCCCAUCAAGACUUGGGAGGACUGUGCCCUGGCCAUCCUCUUGACUGCAAGCAACCCCAUGACACCCAGAGCCAGAAUCCUCCACCAUUCUGCUUCUGUCCCCCCAAAACUGUGCAAUAGUAAACCUUUGUUCUGGGAUAACUUAUUACACAGCAAAAGAUAACCAACACAGAGCCAUUUGUCCUCAGGCACCCAUAUGUCUUGGUCACCUUCACACCUGCUGCACCAGAAGGGACUUCUCUCCACUCCAGCCUGGUAAGUUCUUCCACCAGCUUCUGGGUGGCAUCCCCUCCUUCCCACAUCUCACACAGCCCUAUAUUUUGGACAGCUCUCUGGUUUUAUCCUGAGUGGCAAGAGUGCCAGCCCACCAUGAUCUGCCUCAGAGCCAGCACCCCAGGCCUGAUCUUCCAGCAGGAAGGCCUGGAAAUGGAGCUAUUUUGUUAACUUCCAUGAGUUCCUAAAGCACAUGGACACAUGACUUCAGGUGUCUAUCAACAGCCUUGAUAUGAACUGCACAGUUGCAUGUUGAAAAUCCAGCUGCCUGGAGGGCCUGCUGGUUCCUAACUCUGGGCCCACAGUUCUAUGUGGGUUGAGGCCACCUGUGCUAGGCAGCUUUCUGUUAUUGUGAAAUAAUAACUGAGAAAAUCACCUUAAAAAGAGGGAAGGUUCAUGUUUCCAGAGGUUUCAGUUCAUGAUCAUCUGUUCCCAUUACUUUUGGGCCUGUGGCAGGUCAGCACAUCAUGGCAAGAAUGAUACUGCUCACCUCAUGGUAGACAGAAAGAAAAAACAGGAAGAGACCAGGGGCCCACUCUCUCCUGGAGAGCACACCCCUAGCAACCUAGGACUGCCCACUAGGCCCACUUUCUACAGGUUCUACCACCUCUGGAUAGGGUCAUGGGCUGGGGACCAAGCCUAACACAUGGGCCUCUCAGGGACACUCAAGGUCCAAACAAUGGCACCACUGGGCUGGGCUGUCUGCCUGGGCUUCGAGGUGCUGGGUAACCUCCUGCAGUUUCACUAAUUAUCAGUUUCUGUUAGCUUCCUCUGUCCAUGGCCUCUAGCAUGGGCAGUGGACCCCUGAACACAGAAUGGAGCCAUCCUCAAGCACACUCUGCUCCAGGCCUAGCCUUUGACCAGGUUGUCAUCCUCCCUGGGGACUCCUCACAGUCUCUCAUGUGGGUGAAUCCUUGAGCAAGAGUGUGCAGGUGUACAAGCCAAGUCAUCCUGUGUGUGAUCAGAACUCCAGGUCAUGUGUGAAAGAAACUACCUGAAGCAAAAUUGGCUCCUGUGCGUUGACUCCAGGGUGAGCUAGAUCCUGCAGGGCCUGGCUGCCUCUUGGCUCUGCACCAGCCCUGCCCCAUGGGGGCUCAGCAGCAACUCCAGAUUUCCUCCUUCCUGCAUCUAGGGACCCCAUGCAUGGGGAUGUUCUAGCUGAGUGACUCCAGCUAAAGCCACAGAUAGUGCACAUGUCACUGUGGCUUGGGGCCAGAGUCAGGGGCAGAGCCAGCCUCUACCCACCCAUUGAGAUGCGGUUUCUCAGUGUAAAAUCAAGGCUCUGUUGCCAGAGGAAAAACACCAGGGGAAACUGAGGCUGGGGUCUUCUGCAGAAGUGUAGAAGCUCAGGGGACUCAUGAAGCUUUAUUCCAAAGCCCUAGUAAGGCACCGUCUCCUCCCACCAGUACCGUGUUCCAUCUCCUAGUAAUUCUCUUCCAAUGCCAGCAGGGAACAGUGUGAUUAGGGCCACAUUAUUAACUUGCCAAUCUCAUUUCUGGGGCACAAAUGCUAAAGGCUUAGGCAACCCACUGGUAAUUUGUCUCCAGGACAAAUUACUUGGGUAUCUAUUAAAUAUCUGGGGAAAUGUCAGGCAGGACCUGUCAUGCUCCUAGAAAGAGAAAGCCAAUCAACUGGAGCAUCAAUUGGAUCUGGAAUCAGCCUCCAGCAGGGCCAAGAAGGAGGCCUCACUGCUCCCUCUACUGGAACCAGGAGCACUUGGCAUGCGCUCUGGUCUCUGCUACCUCAUUAAUUCCUUAGUCACCUGCCCAAAUGAGUCCUGGCUGAAAGAGGGGAACAGAGCAGUGCUGAGGAGGGACAGAUGCUCAGGCAGAUGGGCAGAGACCAACUGCCAGGCUAGCUCUUGUCUAUUUGGCAAGCAACACUCAUGUGCUCUGGGUGCCUGAUAGGUGCCCCCAGAUGAGUACCAAUGACCACACCCUCACAAGCCCUACCCAUGGCUUUGCCCAUGGUGUAGCCCCAGCACCCCCUCUGGUGCAGUAUAUUACCCCACCCUGGUCUACUCAGCAAGUGAUUGAGAGCUGCCAAUUCCCAGCCCCCAGCCUUAUGUCUAUUCAUGACACUGACAUAUGGUACCUCCACAGGGGUGGAGUGGUCCAAGGAAGCUGCUAAUUGAGACAGUGAAGCAUGUACUCAUUUGAGCCCUGCUGAAGUAGAACAAAUGUAAGAUGCUAGGGAGCAGAGGGCAGCCUGGGGGUACUGUGUGUCUGCAUGCAGCACUGCAGAGGUGUGGGAGGAGGGAAGGGGGAAUAUGGGCAGGCUGAGGGGCUUGGCAGUGGGUUCUGGGCCUCAGAAGAUUCCUGGGGCUCAGUUGGUGGGGUCCUAAGGAACUGGGCUGGCCAUCCUGGCCCAGGCAGGCUGGCUUGUAGCAAGAGCUCAGCUGGCAGCAGGUCCCAUCUUCUCCCCUCCUCUCACACCAAAGGAAUGUUAAGCCAGUGACCAUAGAUGCACCAGAGGCUCAUCCGCUCAGCAAAUAGGCCCUAAAAUGUUCUAGUUCUUUCUGCAACAAAGACGUUCUAUCUCACAUUGAAGCAAAGUUUUGAGAGUUCUGAGCCAGUGUCUUCUGUUUUUAUUGGCCCAUUUCAGUGAUUAGGGUAAUGCUGCCCACCAGUGCUUUCCCCACCAGGCCCCUGCUACAUGCUGGGCUCCCUCUCCAGUGCCCAGCUGAGGAUCAACCACCAAAAAGCCCUACUCCUGGGACUGGAGAGGGCAGAGCUGAGCCAAAGGCCAGGAUCCCAGGGUCCUCAGCAGCCUUUCCUCCCCACCUAGGUCUGGAGCUUGCUGCCUGGAAAGAGGCUUCUUUACCAACUGGCCACAUGCAUCCUAGGUGACCAAUGGGUUUGAGAUCUAUGGCCACCACCUCCCAGGAGGUGCAGGUUCAUGAUCCCCUGACCCAGUAUGACCACCUGCCCCUGCAGUGAUAGAAGUCAGAGGAGAUGGAGAUGGGAUCCAGGACAGGAAAGGCUAGGAUACUCAGGCUGUCUAGGGGGAGAGCUGGGGGUGGGGCUUGCCCUUGGCUCCAGCUGAGCUUCUGAGCCUCUGGGACACUAGAAAGUUCUGGAUGCCCUUCCAUUGGCCUGAGCUUGCUCUCUGUGCAGUGGCAGCCUCAUGGGGAAUGACUGAGGGGUCUACCUGUUCCUUCUUGGCAGGGGUAGGUCUGGGACCUGGAACUAGUACCCCAACACUGUGGGCUUUUCCAGGGAGUGAAGCAGUGGCAGUCUUAUCCAUCAAGGGCAAAGCCUGCUAGAGAGGGGCCCCCAUCAACUCCCUCAGGCAGCUGGACUGAGGGGCUACUGCCAGGACAGCUCUGACUCCAGGUCCACCAACACCCUUAUUCCAGCCCUGUUGGGCCAUUUGGGUAUUCUGACCUGCCCAGCCUCACCAUGGACAAGGAGCUUCUGUCUCAAUGGAAUGUUUGGGGAGUCUCUGCCCCUGGCCCUGACCUUGGCUGGCAGUGUUCACAUCUGCUGCAGGUACGGGGCCUACUGCAUGUCAGGCACUGAUGUGCAAUACGGCUUCUGCUGCCACCAUCUUGGGGCAGAUGACUGACAGUGAGCUAAGUGUGUAUGAGGGAAGGAAUGCCCUAGAAACCCCUUCCUGCAGGGAGUAUAGGGUGAGAGAGGAAGGCACCUGCUGGUGGAGGGAGCAGGGACCACAUGUGAGGGAGAGUGCUGGGAUCACAUGGGCUCUAAGGUUGGGGUGGGGCCCAGGAGCCAGAUCCUGGACACAGGUAGCUUGGACCCAGCCUUAGAGAGGGUGCAGGACCUUGCAGGACAGGAUUGGCAUGCCCCUGUCAUGCCUGGCCAGGUGGUCUUAGGCAAACCCCUUCCUUCUCAGUUCUUCAGGGCCUGAAGGAGAGUGUUUGGUGUCUUUUCGUGCUUUCAUUUCCUGAUCCCUGAGCUCGGCAGGAUAGGGGCUUCCUCAGCACACAGAUCCUGCCAUCAGCAGGGUCCUCCGGCCAGGAGGUAACAGGGCCCCAGCACACCCUAUCAGACUCCCCUCAGGGUGUAAAGGAAGGGCCUCUAUCCUGAACUCAGAGACUGAGGCUCCCACAGAGCUUGAAGUGGCUGUCAUUGAGGUCCCCAUUCUGAGCAAGAUCCUUUGUCAGGGUGGGUCAGGACAACAAAGGGACACUCUCCAUGUUACACCUCCAACAACCUUGCACAGAGCCAAGUACUUGGCUCUGGUGCCCUGAAGUUUUCAGAGAUUCUUUUUCUUGUUAUCUAUAACCAUUAAUGAUCAUUUUUAUGUUCCCUAUGAGAACUCACUUCCCCAAAGGAUCUGGGUCUACAGCUGCACAAAGCCAUAGCAGACACCAGCCCAUCCUUGAGGUCCCAUCUACACUAUAGAUUUUAGCAGACUUAAAGUAUGAAAAAAAAAAAACAUGCAAACAUGAGAGAUUUAUUUCCCUCUCUUAUUUAAUGCAUAGGACAAAAUGCCCAAUGUUGCUGGGUAUUAGUUUGCUAUAAAAAAAAAAAUAGCACAAUCUAGAUGGCUUAAACUACAGAUCAAGGUGUGGGCAAGGUUGAUAUCCUCUGAGGCUGGAAGGGAGAAUCUGCCCCAGGCCUCUCUCCAGCUUCUGGAGGUUUCCAUCAAUCUUGUAUUCUUUGGCUUGUAGAAGUAUUACUGCACCUCUGCCUACAUCUCACAUGGUGCUCUCCCUGUGUACCUGUGUCCCAAUGUCCCCUUUUCAUAAGGACACAGUCAUAUUGGAUCAGGGUCUGUGAUAAUGGUCCAGUUGAGGCUACUUUUAUAAGGGACAUAAUUCAACUUCUAAUGAGCUGUCUUAGUUUCUUUUCAGGGCCAAGAUAAUUUUGAGGGUUCCUAUCUCACAACUUUAUUUACCAUGAGCAUGAAAUGAUUGAUAUUUCAUACGUAAGCCUCUGCACAAGGCCACUGCAGAGUGUGUGUGCACCCUGUGACGUAUCCCUUGAGCAAUAAACAGGACAUGUGUACAGAUAGACUCCUUUUUGACUCAAUCUGCUUUCCUCAAAGUAAACUCUCCUUAAUGAGCCAUUAGUUGGCUGUGAUUUCUGUAACCAGAGAGGCAGAAAAAGAGGACAAUAUUUAUUUGACACAUAAAUAAGAACACUUGUAAACAUGAAAAACACAUUACAGGGCUGAAUUUAAUUGAUGUCUUUCAAACAUGUGACUGUUCAAGACCAUGUGAUUUCUACCAAAAAGCUUUCAAAACAAUGUGCAGGAGACAGAGUAUUUCUCUCUACACACUGAUUGUGUUAACUGGAUGUGUUCUAUAAGCUGCCCUUAAAAAAGUGACCAAUACAAUUCUGUAUUUGCUUGACAAACUUGAUUACAGUAGCAUUUGGUUUGCUUAUUAAUAUCUCAAGUAAUAAUUUCAGUAAAGCAAUGAUCUCCAAAGUGCAACCUUCUAGUUUCAAAUAUAAAAUUUAUAAACUAUUCAUCUGAACUGACUUGUCUUACACUCUCUGCCUUUGAUAUCCUUAAAGAGUCAAAGCCAGAGCCAGCAGCACUGCACAAGGCCUGCCCUUCCUCAGGCCCAAGGACUAAAAAGCCACCCCACCACUCAUAUCCGUACGUUAAGAUAUUUCUAUGCACUUAAAAAUUAUUUUGUUGAUUUUGAAGUUUUUCUCUGAAAAAUUCCUGGUUUAAGAAAUAAGCUAGUAUCAGAAAGUCAAGGAUCCACUGUUUUCUUAUGUUGACACUAGAACAAAAAAAAAAAAAAGAAAAGAAAAAGGAGAGAUAAAUUCUAUGGAAAUAGGAGGGAGAUCAGUGGAGUCCAGAAAGGAGCUGGGGGCUAGGGAUGGGGAAAGGGAGGAACUGCAGAAUGAAACUGAUCAAGUUAUGCUGUGGACAUGUAUGAAUACACCACAGUGAAUUUCAUUUUUGUGUUUAUCUAUACAGCACAAAUAAGAAGACCAAUAUAGAGGAAGGGAAACUGGGGAGGGAGGAGGAGAGGGGAAAGAGGAAGUACUUAUUCCUGUAUGGAGCAAAUUAUAGUUCAUCCAUACAUGACUGUGUCAAAAAGAACCCCAUUAUUAUGUAUAACUAUAAUGAACUAAUAAAAACCCUUAAAAUACGAACAUUAGUAACUCAAGUCUGUUAAGCAUCUUAUCAUCAGGAAUUAUUUUAUUUGCAGAUAUUUCUAGGAAAGGACAGUAAUUAAAGUGACUGUGAUCUUUCUUAAAAAAUAGCAAACUCAUGAGUUUGUCUUAAAUGAAUUAUAACUUCAAAAAUGAAUUAAUAAUAAUGUCCCUUUCUUUUCAUUCUUAUUUCUGUGGAGUGGAGAUAUGAAAUUAAGAUGGAUUCCUAUAAAAUCCUCAAAAAGUUAAGUGAUUUUUCUCUUUACUAUUAACUAUUUCUUGGUCAUAAUCUGAGCUUCUGAUAAUGCUUGUUAGUUAGGGUUUUAUCAUUGUGACCAAAAUACUUGACAAAAGCAACUUAGAAGAGGAAAAGUUACCUUGGGCUCAUGGUUUUAGAUGUUCAAGUUUAUGGCCAGUUUGAUAGCUCUGAGCCCAAGAUGAAGCAGAGCAUCAGGGCAGAAGGACAUGGCAGAGAAAAGCUGCUCAACCCAUAGCAGCCAGGGAGCAGAGAGAGAAUAAAGCAACAGGGACAAAAUACAAAUAUCCAGAGACACACCUCCAGUGACCUACUUCCUCUAGCUCCUCCCCACCUGCCUACAAUUAUGCCCCAGUUGAUCCAUUCAAAUUGUUAAUUCAGAGAAUGGAUGAAUUUACUGGUUAGGUCAUGGCUCAUAAUCUAGUUCUUUAACCCCUAAGAAUUCCUGCAUUAACAUAGGAGCUUUAGGGGGACACCUCACAUACAAACCAUAACAAUGCUAAUAGUAGUGCUUUCUGACCAUAAGAAAUCCUCAUAGUUCUGGGUUGUAGGUUGUUAUGGUUUGGAUGUGGUUUGUUCCUUAAAGGUUCAUAUGUUGGAAUUUGGUCCUCAGUGGGAGGUAGUGGGACUUUAAGAGGUGGGGCCUAGUGAUAGUGAUAGAUAAUCAGGACAUGGGAGUUCACCCUUGGAAGGGAUUUAUGCUAUCUCUCAGGAAUGGGUCAGGUCUGAUAAAAGUGGAUUUGUUCAUAGGACAGCAGGUUGUUCUACAAGAGAGAGCCGUAUCCUGUCCAAUCUCUUGAUUCUUGGUCUUGUUAUGCCACCUCUUCUGUCAGUGCUCCCACCUUUAUGAAUCCAUCUGCCAUGAGCACCUCACUAAAGCAAGUAGAAGCCAGCACCAUGCCCUUGGCCUAUGAGCUAAAUAAGCCUCUCUUCUUUUAAAAAAGUACAUAGUCUCAGGUAUUUUAUUAUAGCAACACAGAUUCAAGCAGAGUUUUAUAGACAGAUUUCUGUGGAUAUGUACUUCUUCUCUUGACAUAGGGAAGGUGGGAGGGUUCUUUGACUCUCCCACCAAAGGCGGCACCAAGGAGGGUGUUGUGGGCCAAGGAAUGGAGGGAAGGGCACUCCCCUUAUCCCCUUCUUCUCAGGAUGGCUCCACUACUCUUUCCUUAUCCCCUUCUUCCCUGGAUGGUUCCACUACUCUUUCCUUGCCAUGAUAGGGUAGCAGCAUAUGGUAUUGGUGCCGCCCAAGUGGGCACAGCAUAAUAGAAAAGGAAUUUGGAUAAAGUGGUCCUAGAGAAAUCGAGGCUUUAUCUGAGGUGAUUCAGUGAUUCUGUAGGGUAUUUGGAGCCAGAAGCAUCAUUGUCUCCUGGCAAGGUGUUAAUAAUAACACCAGAAAUUCAGAGAAGGAGCUCCUGAUCUGUUUCCACCAGCCUCUAGAGAAUGUGUAUGCAGGUUGCAGUAUGUAAGCCAUUAUCCAUCUGGGAUAAUAGAGAUGUCUUUAGUGCAAUAUGGGCCUUUCUAAUCAUUUAAAUCUUGUUUGGGGCAGUGGUUCUCAACUGGUUUUUUUCCAGUUAGGGUCAUUUGCAGGGUCUGGUGACCUGUUUUGGUUGCCAUGAUUUCUAAGUGUGGGCAGAGGUCAGAGAUCUCCAGCCACAAAGAUGUGAAGGAUCCACAGCACUAAAUGUCAAUAACAACAAGAUCUAGAAUUAUAUGGGUAUCGGGUCCUGUAUAGAGCAAAUUAGUUCUUAUUUGCAGCAAUUUAGGACUAGAUUAGACCUUUACAUUGUUUUUGUUCACAGCAGUUGAUGCCUUAUUCUGUGGAUUAGAGCAGUAGUGCAAUUCAGUGUUUAUUUAAGGACAUUUAUUCUUAAGGGAACUUCACAAGGAGGAAAUCCAUGUCUGGUCCUAGGCCCUCUGAGAGGACUGCACAGUUUUCUUUUGCUACAGGCCCUUUCUGUAGGAUGAGGCUUCAACAGAGGUUAUUACCACCACCUUGUGGCCAUCUUGUGCAUAUUCGAUGCAUAGGCUGGGUCUCCUAUUAAUUAUUAAUGAUUUAUUAUGAUUGAUAAGACAUAACUCAACCUUUAUAGAAUCCAUUUACUUCCUGGCAUAAAUUUUAUACAGAGUUGUUUUUCUUAUUAAGUAAAAUCUCAAGGUGAUUUAGAGAUUUUCUUUAAAUGAAUAAGUUCCUCACUCUCUUUUAAAUUUGAAAUAUGAAUUAUGAUGAUAAAACAUUAAAGUGUUUUGUUAAGGCAAGUAUUCAUUGUUAAAGAUUUGGUAAAAGGCACAAAAUGAUAACAAAGAUCUGAACAUUGUUUUUAUAAAUUCCUAGUGAUUGCAAGAACAAUUUAAUAAUGAAAACAAUAACAUCAAAUCAUUUAAAAAUACCCUUUGUCUUGGAAAUAUUUACUGAAAAGAAUUCAUAUAAAACAGAUAUCAUUUUAGCUGUUAUUUUAUUUACUAUGACAAAACUGUGACAUAAUUUUCAUAAACUGUUGAAGUUUUUUCUGAACAACUUUAAUACACCUGUUCAAAAUGUUCACUUAGUUUUGACCAAUAAAACCAUAUAGCUAUGAAACCACUGAACAUUUUCACUGCCCCAAAGUUCCUUCCUACCUUUAAGAAGCCAUUCUCCCCAUCCUGGCACCAGAAGACCACAGAUCUUAUUUCUAUCACUAGAUGGCUUUUGUCUCUUUAGAAUUUAACACGAAUGGGGUCAUUAGUAUGCAUUCUGUUGUAUCUGACUUAUUUUGUUUGGAGUAAUGGUUUUGAAUUUCCUACCUUUUGCUUCUUUUUACUGUUGAGUAGGAUUUUGUUGUAUGGAAACACUAAAAUUUGCUUUGCUUUUUACUUAUUUUUUUUAAAUAUAUUUUUGUUUUAGUUGUAGAUGGACACAAUGCCUUUAUUUUUUAUUUAUUUAUUUUUAUGAGGUGCCGGGGAUCAAACCCAGUGCCUCACGCAUGCUAGGCAAGCGCUCUACCACAACCUCAGCUCAUGCGUUUUACUUAUUGAUGGACACUUGAGAUGUUUUCAGUUUGGGGCUGUUAUGAAUAAAUAUGAUAUGAACAUUUUUGUUAUAAGUAUUUAUGUAGAUAUAUAUUUUCAUUUCUCUUGAGUAAUUACUUAUGAAUACACUUUCAGGUCAUGUGUUAAGUACAUGUUUGUUUAAUUACAUGGGAAACUUCCGAAUGACUACUAAUUUACACCAGAAAUGUGUGAUAGUUCCAAUUAAAUACACAUGCUUGCCAAUAUUUGUCAUUUCCUGAGAAUUUUCUUAUGUGUAAAUAAAUACAGGUAUUUUAAUGAGUAUGUAGUGAUAUAUUAUCAAGGCUUUAAUUCACAUUUCCAGGGAACUGUGUAAUGAUGUGAAAUCUUUUCAUAUGCUCUUUGGCCUUCUUUAUUUUCUUUUGUGAAACAUUUCUUCCAAUCUUCUGCCUAGUUUGCUAAAAUUAAAAUUGUAUUGAUAACUAUAGAUUGUCAUUAUAGUUGGCAUAGAGAAAAGUGAUUGUAACUGUUGUUUGACUGAUUUAUAUUUUCAUUUAUCUUCAAGGAAAAAAUAUAACUUCAUAUCUAAUCAGAUACCAGUUGCUAGACCUUGUCUCUUUUAUAUAUAUUAUGUGUGUGUGUGUAUAUAUAUAUAUAUAUAUAUAUAUAUAUAUUUGUACUAGAGACUGAAACUGGGGCCUUUUAUAUGCUAUACAAUUGCUCUAAUUAUGCUUUAGUUAUAUUCUCAGACAUUCUGAAAUUUAUUUUGAUGGUCUCACCAAGUUGCCCAUUCUGGCUUUGAACUUGUGAUCCUCCUGCCUAAUGCUUUCUGAAAAAGAAAAAAAAAAACUUUGGUAAAAGAGACAACAUAAAACUUAUGCUAUCAAUUGUUUUUAAGUAUACAUUUCAGUUGUGUUUAAUAGUUAAAUAUAUUAAUGUUGCUAUGCAGUGAUUGGUAUUUGUUUGUUGGCCUUGUGUUCUGUAACCAUGUUAGAGGUUAUUUCUGCAACAUUGGCAUUUUUACAUGAUUCACUACUUGGUUAUGGCCCCAUGUAUAAUAGAUGUCCACUAGAUCAUCCCAGUUCUAAAUUAUUCAGUGGAGGAAUGAUAUAAAUAAAAACUUUUAAACAGAUUCAGAAAUGGUACAUUUCACAACACGACUAAUCUCAUCCUUCAAAAAUCAAUGUAAAUUCCCCAACAAAGAAAUAAAAACACAUUACCAAAUACAAAAAAGCCACAAACAGAAAAGAGCACCAAAAAUGGUAAAAUGUACAUAAAUAUAGAAUACUCUUGUCUUUUGUUUUACAAAUUCUUGACAAAAUAAUUUACUAUUUAAUUAAAAGCAAUAACAAAAGUGCCAUGGGGUUUCUAACAUAUACAGAAAUAAUAUGUGUGAAUACAUGGACAUACACAAACAAUGGGAGGAGGAAAUGAAUAUAUUGAUAUGCAAUUUUAAAAAAAAAUUUAGUUGCUCAGGGACCUUUAUUUAAUUUAUUUAUAUGUGGUGCUGNAAGACCUAAUGAACAGCAAAACCCAACUCUAUAACAUACAUGUAAAAAGUGCACUUCAAAUCUAAGUAAACGUAUAGAUUAAAAGGAUGAAAAUGGUAUGUGAUGCAAAAGUUAAGGAAGGAAAGCAGGGAGGACUACAGCAAUAGCAGAUCAAAGAGAUUCCUGCACCCAAGUAUUGCUGUGGAGAAAGAGGAAAUUUUCAUAAUGACAGCAAUAUCAAUUAAACAAACAAUCAAAAAAGCUAUACUAAGUCUCUGUGAAUACAAUAAGAAAGCUUCCAAAAACAUGAAUCCAAGAUUGCUUGUUAUAAAAAAGAAAAAUAGGAGAAUCUUCAAUCAUACUGAAAGAUUUUACCCUUUGUUUCUCAAGAGGAUUUGAAAAUCUUGACAACCAACUUGUCUUAGUUGAAUUAUCUGACAAAAAAUACUCCAACAAUGACAUCAAAAUACACAUUCUUUUCAAAAGCCAACACAAAUGAUGUUCUGGGUCAUAAAUUUAGUCUCAACAAAAUUUAAAGGACUCAAAUUAUGCAGAAUAUGUUCUCUGAACAUAAUGCAAUUAUACAGAGGAAAAUGUUUAUAACAGAAAGAUAUUAUGGAAAUCCUAGAAUAUUGGGAAGUUAAAUAAUGCUCCUCUAAAAUGGUCAUUGACCAAAGAAAAAUAAAAAGGUAAAUCUUAAGAUUUUUUGAAAUUGAAUGAUUAGGAAAACAUAGCAUACCAAAUUUGUGAGGUUCAGCUGAAGCAAGCCAAAAAAGUUAUUUACAGUUUUAAAUGUAUUAAAAAAGAAAAAUAAUUAUAAAACAAAAGCAAAUAGAUUCAAAGUAAAUAGAAGAUUCUUAUAAGGGCUAAACCAGCAUGAUAGAUAAAAAGGAGAACUAUGGAAGAUCAAUGAAAUAAAAAUUUAAAUCUUCAAAAAUAUCAAUGAAACUUACAAAUCUUUAUAUGCAUUAAGGGAAAAAAGAGAAUAUCAAAAAUAAAAUAAAAGACAUCACUAUAUAUCCUAAAAAUACUGAAUGUAAUUGAAUAUAUAUUGAAAGGGUAAUAAUUAAAUAUUAUAAAACACUUUGCUAAAAAAUUAAAUAACAUAGAUCAAAUAAAAAACUCCUUGAAGACAUAAUACAUAAAUAACACAAGAAGAAAAAAAUUAUAUGGCCAUCCCAUAUGUAUUUUAAAAGUUGACUUUGUAAUAAGAAAUUUCCCAUGAACAAAACUCCAGACCCAGAAGACUUCACUGGUUAAUACUGUCUAACAUUUAUAUAUAUAUAUUUCAUAAAUGCUUUCAGAAAAUUAAGGAGGAGGGAACAUUUUGCAAAUUAUUUUAUGAGACCAGAAGUGUCAUGAGUCCACAAAGAUUAUAAAACAAGAAAAAGUAUGACUAAAAUGUCAUGAAAAUCGAAACAAGAUCUAUGAACAAUAGUAGCAAUUCAAAACAAGCAAUAUAGAAAAUUGAUAAUGCAUCAGGAUACAGAACACUUGCCCCAGAAAUACUAAAUUGAAAAACUAAUUAUUGUAAUACACCAUUUUAGAAUAAAGGGCAAAAAAAUAUGAUCAUCUCAAAAGAUGCUAUGGUAACUUUUCAUCACUAUAAAUUCAUACAUUAAAAAAAGUCUGUUUCUGGAUCACAAUCUUUGAAAUUCCAAUCCAUGUUCUGUUGGCAUCAUUGAUUUGGGCCUGCCUGAUGUGAGGUAGCACAUCAUGAUGGAGGUGCCUGGUGAAGUAAAACCACUCCCCUCAAGGCCAGGGAGCAAAAGAGAGAAAGAGGAGGGUCUAGUCCCACUAUCAUCUUUGAAGGCACAUCUCCACUGACCUAAAGACAUCCUACUAGUCCCCGGCUCUUGAGGGUUUCACUAUCUCUGAAUAGUGUCACCCUGGGGACCAAACCUUUAAUAAUCCAUGAACCUUUAAGAGGACACUUAUUCCAACCGCAGCAGAUGUAGACUAAAUAUUUUAAAACUCCAAUAACCAUAUGUAAUACAACCUCAUAGUAAAUUUAAGUGGGAAGAAAUUUCCCCAAUAUGACAAUGGGUGGCAAGGAAAAUCCAUUGGAAAUAUAAUACUAAAUCUUGUGCCUUAAUUUCUUCUUCUAUAAUCUAGGACAAGGUUCUCACUUCUCCCAUUCAAGAUUUCAUUGGAUAUUCAAGCCAGUCCAGUAAAUUAAGACCAAAAAAAAAAAAAAAGAAUAAUCUACAGAUUUUAAAGGAAGAAGUAAAUAUGUGUUUAUUUGAAACAAUGUUCUUAUGGAAAUAGAAAAGUCUACGGAAUCUAGAAAAAAGUACUAGACCAGGUAAGUUGAAGUUAACAAAGACAAGAUAAAAGGUCAUUUAUACAAAAAUAAAUUUUUAUUUCUAUUAAUUGGCAACCUACAAUAUAAGAAUAAAAAUGUAAAAGCCACAAUACCACUGACAAUACCACGUUAGAGGUAUUUCUAACUAUAAAGAGAAAGAUCAUGAAUUUGAAAGUGAAAAGACUAACCAGAGAGGAGCAAAUACGUUUUCAGAUGAGAAAGAAUUGAAAUGUGGAAUGCAAUACUUUCAAUGUGUACAAUCCACAAAUGACUGUCAUUGAUAACAGAAAGAAUCAUUUUUAGGUGUCACUUUAGUGUGGCCAUCCAUGAUCACUAGCCUUAAAAUUCAAGUGUAUGAAAAUAAACUAUGAGGGGCCACUUAUGAAAGACUGGAAGCAGAGUUAGCUGGCACUGUGACUUGGGAAGCAGUUUGGCAUUAUUCUUACUGUCAGAUGUGCACGCUCCCAGUGACCCAGAAACUCCACUCCCAAGCUGAUAAACUCUAGAAACACUUUUGCCCACUUUCAUAAUGAAGAUUAUAUACAAUGGUAUCAUGUAUAAGAACAAAAUAAUUAAAUAAAAAUAAAUUGCAGUAGAGUCAUGCAGUGGUGUAUAUGAUGAAGUGCUUGCAAUAACAAGGAUUAAUGCAAGUUUCUCAACUUUGACAUUGGCAUUUUGGGCUGGCUAACACUUUGUUGUAGAGGGCUGUCCUGUGUAUUGGGGAGUUAAUCAGCAUCUCCAACUUCUCAGGGAAAGGCCAGCAGCAUUCUCACAUAGAGACAGUUGAAAACAUAUAGAUGUUGCCAAAUGUCUCUGGGGAGGCAAAGACACCUCUGCUUGAGAACCUCUGAUGCAAAGUGAAAAAUCAACCAUAGAAAUCUAUAAAGUAGAAUAAUACUGUACUAAUAAUGCAUAGAAAAAAUAAAAAGUAAAAUUCUCCUGUUGUCUCAACAUGUCACAAUUGUGUAAAUUGUACAUUCACACAUGUGUUUGUGUAUGUUUGAUAUGUAUAUACAUAUCAAAUACAUACCUUCUCAGGACAGGCAUAUUUAAAGUCAAGAGAAUUAUGAGCUCCACAUCUGGAUGGGUGCUCACUUGGGGUUGGGAGAAAAUGCAGGAGGAUGAACAGGUGGGGUGUACUCAGAGUUAGUGUUCUGAUCAUGAUCUUUGGCAAAUUGUAGCUUUGGGGACUUGGCUUUGCUUGGUUGUUUUUCUGGUAGUCCUUCUCAGAUAAUGUGGUGACUCUGGGGAUUGAACUGGAAACACAAUCAUCUAUGCUGGCCUUACACCUGGCCAGGCUGGAAUAGAGGGUGUUCCUAUGUUAGGCUUUUCAUUUCGGACUUCAUCAGAGAGUGGUGUUUUCAUAUUUUCAAAAGGUAAGCACUAAUAUGCACAUGUUUAUGAAGCUUCUGCUUCUGCCAUAUUUGCCAGUAUCACCUUGGACAAAGGGCAAUAUUUCAGUAAGUAUUUUCUUUUUCUUUUUCCACUGCAACCAAAAUACCUGAAAAGAACAAUUAGAGGAGGAAAAGUUUAUUUUGAGAUUCAUGGUUUCAGAGUUCUCAGUCCAUAAAUGGCCAACUCUGUGGCAGAACAUCAUGGCAGAAAGGUGUGGAGGAGGAAAGCAGCUCAGAUCAUGAAACUCAGAAAGCAGAGGGAGAGAGCCCUGCUCUCCAGGAACAAAAUAUAUACCCCAAAGUCAUACCCAUUGCGACCUACCUUCUCCAGCCAACACUCCCUGCCUACAGCUAUCACCCAGUUAAUACAUUCAGGUGGAUUAAUGCACUGAUUAGGGUAAGGCUCCCACAACCCAAAUCAUUUCACCUCUAAACUUUCUUUCAUUGCCUCCCAUGUGAGCUUUUGUGGGACACAUCAUAGUAAAUCAUAACAGAAGCCCCUUGGCUAGGUCAGAAUCAGUAUAUGAGGGGCUCACACAAGGUUGUGUAUCUUGGGUGUUAUGGAUAACUGAGGGCCAUUAAUGUAGCAGUUUAUCAAAAUAAUCUUGAGGAACUUUGGCUCAGCUGCACUGUAAUCAUUUAUGGUAAUAGCUUUUUCAUAUUUGGUAUGGCAGAAAAAUAGAAGUAAAAUUGCAUCUCACACAUUGCCUUUCUUCAUCAUUAGUUAUAACAAACAAGAGGUAGCAUUAGAUAUUUAAAUAUUUGUUGCAUCCUUUCUUUUUGAUCUCUCCAUGGUUCAUACAGAAGCUUCUAAAGAUCAAGUGGAGCCAGAGUGACAAUAUAUCAGAAAUCAAGAGGUCUCCAUUGUACAGUUUUCUAAAGGGCCUAUUUGACCCAAGAGAUGUGUGCUAAGUUCAGAGGUAUGCAGGAGGUUCAGGAGCCUGGCUUUCAAUCUUGAAAUCUGAGAAAAUAUUCCUAUAAUUUUGUGCUGCUUUGGCUCCAAGGAACCACUUUGGAGGAGACCCUGGUUCAACCACAAUACCAGGCUUCCUCUUUAUAAUUUUGCGUCACAUUGAAACUGUGCAAGUUAGGAGACUGAAGAAACUUGGAGUGGGAAUCUUAAGUACAGAAUUGGUCUUAGGUAGCACGUCAAGGCUGAGGACAUGACUGUAAUUCAGAAGACAGGGAGCCCACAUCUGAGGAUGAAGGUGGCAAAGGUACACUGAAUCUAACAGCUCAGCCUAAUUUUCUUGAUUUCUUAAUGGGACUGAAAUAAUAGCCUUGUCAUUUAUUUAUUAAAGAGAGGAAUAGAGAAGCCAUCUCUUGUGGGUUAUCAUACUAUCUGGAACAUUUGAAGUCUUUUAAUAUACAAUAUCUAAUAAUAACCAUACAUGGGUGAGACAAAAAAUGAUGAUAGAUAGCAAGAGGGAAAGAAAUACAGGCAGAUCUCCAAGGGGCCCUGAUAUUGAAAUUGUUCUUUAACAUGACCAUGGUUAAUGUGUUGAAGAUGGUAGAUGAAAACAUAGUCAGAGGAGGUAGAAUGACCUACAAUGUCAUUAGGAAAUUUGAGUCCAUGUUAAAAAUCAAGAGAAUAUUAUAGAAUGGACAUAUAAUAUGUAGGAAAUCAAGAAUUAAGAAAAUGAGUUUUAAUCGCUGAUUUGAUAUAGCAGAGCUUAGAAUUACUGAAGUAGAAGACAAAUCAAUAGCAAAUAUCCAAACUGAAAUAAAGAGAAAAUGCAUUUAGCUACAUAAAAGAAAUCUGUGAUACACAUUCAAAAGUUAACAUGCAAAAUUUGAGUCCUAAAAAAGUGAAAUAGAAAUGGCAAAGAUAACAUUAAAAGAGAAUGAUCAAAAAUUUCAAUAAAUUGAUGAAAGGCAUUAACCCAGAGAUUCAGAAAAUUCUGCAAAAUCCACACCUAAGCACAUACUAGUAAAAUUACUUAUAACCAAAGCUUCAAGGGAAAUAUUGAGAGUAGACAGUGAGAAAAGGCACAGUACACUGAAAGAACACAGUGACAACUCACUGCUGACAACUUACAAAUCCAGGAGUCAAUGGAAUAACAUUUUUUUUAAGUGUUAGGGUUUUAUAUCCACCAAAAUUUCUCCCAAAGCAAAGGUGAAAUAAAUGAUUGCUGACAAAAAGAAACUCAAGAAAUUGAUUGCUAUCAUUCUUAUACUAAAAUAAAUACUGAAGAGAAUUCUUGGGACAAGAAUAAUGGGUGUCUGAGGUUGGGCCCUGCUUACAAGUUCCCUCUGUCAAGUGCAAGGCCUUUGGGUCAAAGACAAAAGCAGCCAGAGGAAUAUGUAGUGCUUCCAAGAGACCCAGUUCCCCCAGGACAAUGCAAUAAGUACUGAAGACAGUGCAGUGCUGGUAGGAUCACUGCUGGUAUAGAUUGAUGGAAAGGGAGAGUCCAGAGGAACCCUUUAUAUUUAUGGUCUGUUGAUAUUUAACAACAUUGCCAAGACAAUUCACUAGAGGAAAAAAAGACUCUUUUCCACAGAUGGUGCUGUGACAAUAGUUAUCCAUGUUCACAAAUACAGAGUUGGACUCCUUCUCACAACAGGUACAAAUAUUAACUCAAAAUGGAUCAAAUACUUAAAUUUAAAUAUAAAAAAUAUUUUUUACACUGAGUUAGGCAAUGCCUUGAUGGUGGCACAGCCUUUUCCCCCUGCAGCAGGAGUCACCUUCAUCCCUCAGUUGUGAAAAGCCAAGUGCAUCCCCAGUGGAGGGUGCAUAUGGGACCAAGGGUUCAAAGCUUCCAGUUUCUGUUGCCCUGCCAGACCUUGUGAUACACAGAUGAUACACAGUCCAGCAGCCUAAUGGUCUGUGGAGCAAAGUGAAGCAUUUAAUAUUCAGUUUAGCUAUUGCUGAGUGAUCACCCAAGUGAUGUUUGAGACUGACAUCCCACAGUAGGAGCAAAAAAUGUUGGAGAAAUGGAAACAGUCUAUUUCAGAAAGCCAGGCACAUCCUGAUCUCAGUAUUGUGUGGUCUGUCCCUGUAUGUCUGUUUGUAAUAAAACAUUCUUUAUCAAAAGCUAUUCUUGCAGUGUUUUUUCUGUUAAUAAAAAUGAUACACAUUCUAAAAGAAAUUUUUAGAAAAUAUGAAUAGAAAAAAUACCUCAUAAUCUUACUGCUCAACAAUACACAUUUCUAAGAUUUUGGGUGCAUUUCUUCAUAUGUAUAUGGGGAGAUAAAUAUAUGGAUUUUACCAUUUAAUAUUUCAAAUACACAAUUUGUUUAUUAUUUUUUUUAAUAAAGAACACCUUUAUUGAUUUCCUGAUCAGGAUACCUUGAAUUUCCCUGUCUAAUCCAUCCUGACAUUUUCUCCCAGAAUAUAACCACUAACCUGAAUUUAAUCUUCCUUAUUCCUGUAUUUCCCUUUAGACUCUAUUGUGUAUGUAUGCAUUCCUAAACAGUCCAGAGACUUAUUUUGUGUAUUUUAAACAAUUUAUAAAUAGGGUUAUAAUGUCCACAGCCCAGUUGUGCCAGGGCAGUGGAAUAGGUUGCUGAACAACCAGGAAGAGACCUAGAGAUGGUGAGUGAGAUGUAGGGAAAAUGCUUUGGGGGAAGGUCCAGUGGUGACAGGCUGAAUGGGAGGCUUUACUAGAGUCCAGUAGUGAAGGCUGGACCUUCUUCCCUCAUAGUGCUUCACCAAGGAGCACCUCCUGUCCCUCACAAUGCCACCCCAGAAAAGAAUGUCUCCUAUUCCUAUGGCGUUUGUCUUGUGGUGGCCAGCUGAAUGAAAGACACCUAUCCUUUCUGCAGUGCCCUCAGUUCAGCUCCAGUCACUGUAUGGAGGGAGGUUUUGUAGGUUAGGCUGCAGAAGCAGUGACAUCGUUGAUACCUGCUUCCCCACAUGUAGAAGUUUGAACAUUAGAGAGGCAUGCUGAGGCAAGCAUACAAAGCAGGGUUUAUUUAAAAAGGGGUAACAUAGACUUCUCCUGGGAAGAAGAAGGGGGCCAUAGCUGGUAUCAUGGUAUCCCAAGAAGCGAGGUGUUCUGCCCUUUUUAUAUGUCCUAGGAUUCCUUUGUUCUCCUGCCUUUCCCCCCUUGUCCUUCUCCUUUCUGUGUAUGUGACUAGGCUCAGGAAUGCUGUAGGGAUGGCCAAAAGGUGGGAAACAGGUGGGCUGAAGGGGGAAUGGCAGGGUGGAGUAGCCAAGGACACAUUAACAACCUUAUAGCUCCCUGUAGGGACAGGUUACCUUGGCAACAAGUUGGAGCAGGGGCAGGUUCUUGAUAGGAUCCCUCAGGGGACAGUCUCCAACUUCCCAGACUCACUCAAAAUUGGCCUCCUAUAUCUGACCUGACUCAAUUUCCCUAUCUACACUGACUGCCUGUCUAAUUCUGACUUCAUCGUCAGUAUUAGCUUGCUUUGUUCUUUAUAUGACCAACAUCCCAAGGAGAAGUUGUCCUGUCAUGCAUGCAAAAAAGUGGCUUUCUACAGAUAAUACUAACAUGUCCCAGGUCCCAGCAUACAUGAGAGAAUGCCAGUGUCCUUAAAAAUAGCGGUAUCUGGACAUUCUGACUCAGGCCUGCUCUCCAUGUUCCCUUAACUUAGCCUGGUUCCUGGGACCUUAAAGGAGCGUUCCAANUCCACUAAAUGGAUAUACCAACAUGUAAUUUAGUCAAGUUCAAUUUGCAUCUGAGUUUUUUUGCUAGUUGAAAUAGUGCUGCUGCACAUGCAACUUUUAUGUCUUUUUGUGACCUGGGCACCAGAGUAGAUGUCUUGCUGAGUCACAGUGUAAGUAAUCCAUUCCAGUCCCUCCUUUAAGUGAUGUGAGAAAGAAUACAGCCUUCAUUCAGCUGGGCCAAAGAUUUGUCAUUUCUCCAGUUCUUCAGCAAUAAUUAUUGGUUUGACAGUCUGUGUCUCUCAUCUUGCAGUCACACCUAUGAAACCCUGUGCACACCUAGUUCAUAUUUCUCAUAAUUUAUAAGUAAACACAAAAAAUUGUCUUACUUUGGAGUGAGUGUAUGGGGGAGGGUGUGCUCCUGUGCACAUGUGCACAUGUGUAUGUAUCAAAGGGAAAAAAGUUGAGUAAGUUGUAAUCUUAAAAGUAAAGGUAGAAAUUUUCCUAGAAAAGUUUUGAUUUCCUAUUUUGUGUAAUGAGUAGUAUGCUGCAUAGUACCCAAAGUUGGUUUUAAAAAAUAUUUCCAUUAACUAUUUUCAUUUAAAACGAACAUUUGAAAAAAAAAUAAAAUGAGCAUUUGAGAGAAAUUACCAGGGCAGCUCUUUUCCUUAGAAAUAACCUAUUCAUCUUUGAAAUAACAACUGGGAAUUUUUUUCUUUUCCAGGAAAUUCCAGUGGUGACUUUGCAUUAAAAAAUUAAGUACAUAAGAUUGAGGCCUUGGGGUGGGGUUGAUAUUACCAAAGGCUACAAAAAAAUUUAGAUUAAUAUUAUAUGUUAUGUUUUAUGACAAAGAACUCAUUGUUUCUGUUCUGUUUUUUUUUUUAACGAAUAAAUGUUUUCUUGAAAGGUGUUUAAUAUUUUCCCCUCAUUGCUGAUCCUUGGAUGGAAACCAUUCUUUAUAUUUGAUGAACUGUUUUCAAAAAACUCUCUUACCAACAAGUGUACAGUAGUUAUCUAAAAUUGUACAUUUAGAAUGGAGUAGUGAGUGUAAUAUCUUAGUCUCAGAAGUCUUAAAAACAGCAAAAAAGACUGAAUUUACAAAGUAUGGUCUGGAAUUGCUUGUGAGAUUCUAAAGUAAUGAAAAUAAAUGUUUCAGCUUUAGAUUAUAAAACUCCAUUUAUGAUUUUAAAAGUAUACUUGAAAUAAAAAUGAUUAAACUAAAACAAAACAAAAAACAGUGCGACAGCCAAACCUAUUCACAUUACACAAAUGAAGUUAGAAAAGGGAAAUAGAGAAACCAGAAACAUAUGGCACAAAUGGGAAACAAAUAAUAAGUAGCUAAAUCCAAAUAGAUCAAUGAUUUUAUUAAAUGCAAAUGUCUAAGCACAUUAGUCAAAACACAGACUGGCAGAUUGCUUUUAAAGAUAAUAGAAGGGAGACCAGUACAGUAGAGGAAAGGGAGCAGGAGGAAGGGAUGGAAAGGGGAGAUGCUGGGAAAUAAAAUUGAUCAAACAGAUACAUAGCGAUGAAAUCCACUAUUAUGUUUAAUUAUAACACAUCAAAAAAAAUGAAGUUCCUAGAAUUAGAAUUGUUGGCCAAAGAAAAACACAAAUAAAAAAUUUAAAAAACAACAAAACCUGCCUAAGCAAAAAUAAAAUAUACACAAUUAAAAAACCCACAAAAAUGGGACUGGGGCUGUAGCUCAGUGGUAAAGCGCUUGCCUCGCAAGUGUGAGACACUGGGUUCGAUCCUCAGCACCACAUAAAAAAACAAAGCUACUAUAUGUGCUCAUCUACAACUCAAUAAAUACUUUAAAAAAAACACAAAACUAUAUAUUAUUGCUUUACUAUAGUAACAGUGAGAACCUAACUCUACAUAUAGAGAAUAUCCAUGUACAAAGAAUGUCAGAAUUACUUUUAAGAAUAACAAUUUUAAAUGCUCUAGAAGAAGCUGGAAGAAAACAUACCAUGCAAACACUAAUGAAAAGAAAACUGAACCAUCUAUAUGAAUGGUACACACAUAGACAUCAGAACAAAGAACACCACCAGGGAGAAUGAGGGGCAUUCCAUGAUGAGGUAAGAGUCAUUUUAUGAGAAGACACAAUAAUCCUAAAUGUGCAAUGUCAGAGCUUGAAAAUCAGGAAGAGAAAAUUGAAAGAACUUGAAGAAGAAUGUGACAAAUUCAUAAGAGAAAAUGAAGAUUUUGAUCCUGUUCUCCAAGUCAUCAAUCAAACUGAUAGAAAAUCAUCAAGGGUAGUGACAAGAACAAUACCAGGAGCCAAGUGCACAGACUGGACUUUCAUAGACCCUCCACUCAAUGCACAGGGUACAUGUCCUUGCCAAGUGAACCAGAACAGAUCACAUCUUGCAUUUCAGAUCAAAUCUUAGUAGGUUUAAAUAAAUGAAAGUCACAUAAAACACUUUAUAUGGUUUGAUAUUAAUGUAGAAAUCACUAAGAGAAAGAUAACAAUGAAUUCUUUAAACACAUAUUGACCAGCCCAAUUCUAAAUGGCCCAUGGAAUUCUCAUGGAAAUUUAGAAAAUAUUUUCAACUAAACAAAAUAUCAAACUCUGAGUUACAGAUGAAGGCAGUGAUUAGAAGGAAAUGUAUAGUACUGAAAUGCCCACAUUAUGAAAAAGAUAACUCAAUUAAUUAAUAAAAUCUCAAAAACAUAACUCAAUUAACUCUUUGCUCUGAGAAAUUAGACAUCAAAGACCAAAAAUUAAACCCAAAGCAAGUAGGAAGAAAGAAACAUUAAAGAUAAUAACACAGCAAUAAAAUUAAAAACAGCAAAGAAAGAUCAAUGACACCAAAAGGUAGUUCUUUAAAAAUAUCAAUAUACUGAUAAAUCUCUGGAAGAUUUAUCAGUGCAAGAAACAAAUAACCACAGAGUAGUGACCCUCACCAACUGUGUGCACUCACACCUUCUACAGAGCCAAAGAGAAAAUACAGGGAUGGGACUCCACAUUUUGGGAUAUAGCUUCAUAGCAUGAUUGUACUAUAAAAAAAAAACCCACACAUUUAGAUAUUUGAAAAACAUUCUCUGACAAGAUUGGAAAACUCUCUGAACCUUCAUGGAGACAAAAGAUGUAAGCUCAAGAAACUACCUGUACUCUGCCACCAGGAAUUCGCACCCCUGCAAGACACAAGCAGUUAUUUCCCAGAGAGGGACAGGGCCACAGACUUUCACAAGUGUCAGGCCUCACAAGUUCACAAGUCCCUGGCAAUCCCUGGUGUCUAUGCCUCCUCAGGCACACAGCCUGGCUGAAGCUGCCCCUUGGUGAAGCUCUCAGGGAAUGAGUUCCUCAGGGACCCAACAUCCCAUCUCUUCUUCAUUUUAAGACCCUUGUAAUGACGUUGGACCCACCAGAAUAACUGAUAAGUUAUGAAUAACGUUUAUUUUUGAUGAAUGGAAAAGAAACGUAUGAUUUGAAAUUAUGGCCAUUAAUAUCUCUAAACCAUGAUUCUGUCCAUGGGCACAAUAACUAAAGGAUUGCCACAGCUGGCCCACCUGAUGUGCCUCUCCUCAAAUUCAUAUGUUGAAGUCCUAGCCUCCAGGACCUCAUAAUGCAAUGAUAUAUGGAGACAGAACCUUUAAAGAGGGAAGCUGAAGCUCUUUCAGUGGUCCCUAAUCCAGUCUGGCUGGUAUCACUUUAAGAAGAGGAGAUUAGGACCCAGACACUCACAGAGAGACCACCAUGUGAGCACCUAGGAAGAAGACAGCCAUGGAGAGAGGCCUCAAGAGAAACCAUGCUGCUGACACCUGGAUCUCAGAUUUGCAACAUCUAGAGUUGUGAGGCAAUAAACUUCUGCUGUUUGAGUCACUCAAUCUCUGGUGCUUUGUUACAGGCAGCCCUAACAAACUACAAUAGCACCAAUUUCUGGAAACCUGAUCCCUGUUCUAAGAGCAGCCUAUAUACGUUUUUGCCCAUCCCCAUCAGGGAAUGGCAGGGAGUUUCAUAAGAAGAAAAUCUCCAGUCACCAUGCCCAGCCUCACUUGUUCUUAGAGGUCACCAUGCUGUUCCCUCUAGAUGUGUGAAGGGGGAAAAAAGGGUGGGACUAAGGUGACACCUUCCCCAGAGGACAGACUUGGGAUGGCCAGUCCUUCCUCUGGAAUCUCCUACUCCAGCUAGGGAAUGAAGGAUUCCAUCUCUCUGGGUCUUAGAAUGUGGGUAUUUGAGGCAAGAGUGUGCAUCAGGAGUCCUCUCCUCUUCAUCCUGGAGUGGGAAGAGAUUACUUCUAAGGUGCUUCCAGUCAUCAGAGAAGUGUAGACUGCUGCUCAGUUAUUGACAGAUUCUCAUUCUGCAUCAUAAGUCAUAUGUUUCAGUACUCAAAUUUCAGGAUGGCUGAGAUAACAGAGAAGCAUCCAGCAGGUGGGAUACAGUGGUGCUUUUGGUCAAGGCACCUCCAUGACCAUGACCUGGCUCCCAGAUCUGCAGGCUGGUGCAGUUGUAUGCUCUGAGCCUGGAGCUGGUGAGACCAUCAUUAAGUCAAUAGAUGCCCCUAGCAGAUCCUUGGCCAGAGCAGGAAGGUGGGCUCCCAUCAAAUGGCUGCCCAGAAAUGCAGCAGGGCUUCCUGCCCACUGCACUGCCCACAAUAAUUUCAGGGUUUAAGUGUGAGGCUUUGAUCCCAGCUCUGUAUCUGUCCUUAUUCAGCACAAUGACCAAGUUGAUGACUUUAUAGCAGAGUAGCUUGGUUGGCCUAGGUCAUCCUGUGAAGCAAGGUUUGUGUUUGUCCCUUCACUGCAGAGAGGAAAAGACCCAUGCAAGCCCUGGCUUCACUCCUUUCUCUUCUGCUCCCUGGGGGUCAGUUUCCUGAUAAACAAAGGUUUGCUCUUGAUUUAUUUUCCUUCUUCUCAUUAUAUUUCAGGUUAUUUCUCCCAUGUGCACUUAUAUAAAGAUGCCAGCUUUGUUUUAGGAGGAAUACAGUGGUCCCCCUCCCCAUCUGCAAGGAUGUACUUCAAGACCAUUUGUAGAUGUCUGAAACUGCAGGUAAUACUAUCUUCCACAUAUACUGUGUUUGUUCCUCCACAUACACACCUAGGUGUCCAGAGCUAGAAGAAGAUAUUGCCUCAAUUAACCUGUUAGUAGAUGAGCCUCAAUUAACCUAUUCCUGGUGCUCUACUUUGCCCUUUGUUUAUCUUGAAGAAGUUUUUCUCUUACAAUAAAUCUCUGUGAUGUGCUUUCCUAUAAAUAAAAGGUGUUGGGCUUUUCUUCUUUGUUAAGAGAUCAGACUCUUAAGAUCUGAUCCACCUACCAUGCUCCCACUGUUAAACUAUUUUCAUGUUUUUGUUUUUAUUUCUAAACAUUUCUUUAGACCUUUAAUUUUCUCAACCAGUUCACACCUCCAUUUGGUUUACUGAUCCCUUGCUGUGUGGGACACAGCAAACUUUUCCUGGGUAAAGUUUAAUUUGUAAAUGAGACACAGAGAGAAACAAUGCUAAUAAAAUAGAACAAUUAUAAUAGCACACAGUAAUAAGAGUUAUGCAAACUAUAUGAAUUGUUUAUUUCUGGAAUUUUCCAUAUAUUAUAUUUGGACUAUAGUUGACUGGGUACUUGUAACCACAGAAAGCAAAACCAAGGAUAAGGGAGAACUACUUGAUAUAAAUUGAAUCCUAUACCUAUACAAAAUGUUCAACUCGUCUUGAAUCAUUUUAGUUUAUAAAGCAGUUUUCUGUUAUGAAAUCAGUGAAAGUUUCUUGUUCUAAAAAUUAUUUGUAGCUCCUCCAACCAGCCUCCAACCUUUUUAUUUGUGUAGUGUAUUGUCUCUGUAACCCUUUCCUCUUUUACAUCUGAAAAACAGCUACUAGUCCUUCCUGGCUCAGCACAGACACCCUCUCCUUGGAAGCCCCCACAGCCUGCACCCAGCAGCCCUGGUUCCACCUUGUCCUCUCCUUCCACUUUCUUCACAUUCCACUUCUGCCCUGGCCACUGACCCAGGCUUUGUUUUGUAGCUGUUUCUCCAGAGGAUGUUAUGAAAAACAUUUUCUGUAAGGAUAGUAUGAUAUAUGUACUUUGUUAAUGUCUGUGAGAACCUUGGGAGAGAAGAGACACAUGUGGAUUCUCUGCCUUCCAGGUUAAGGCCAAUCAAACUCCCUCAGCACACAGCAAGAACCAAGGACAAACAUGAGGGGCUGACACACCAGGAUGUCUCCUCCUAUCUUGUAGUUCCACGAAGUCAGGAGACUGUCUCGUGCAUCCAAAAACCAUCCUGCAAAGAAGAAGGAAAAGCACUAAGAAAUCUGAGCAUUCAACCCUCCAGAAGAGGCAACUGAGUCCAGCAGAGCCUGGAUUCUGGGAGUGAUUCUAUAAUUUGGCAUAGUUGUUAGACAAACAUCACACCCAACACUGCUUCCCUGAAGGUUGCUGACAACACUAAAAACAAAUAUGGCUGGUUAUUUAUGUUUGUCUCAUCUGUUAACUUUGGCUUAAUGGAGAAUAUGGAUGCUCUGAAGCUAGUGAGGGAGCAGGAAAGAACAAGAGCAUUUCCCUUCCAUGCUGUAUCUCCAGGACAUUCUGUCCAAACUUUGUUGUUUCAGAGCUUUACCCCCAGGUGCUACUCUAUCGCUUUUCAUAAAAACUGACUAAAUAAAGUUACAUGGCUUCCAAGAGAGGCCUCUGUGCACCAGCACAUGGACAUAUUUAACAUACACUCUUUUAACCUUUAGCCUGUCUACAGCACUUCACACAUGUAGUGCAUCUGAAGGGUUUAAAAAAUUUUUUUUCAGGAAAAAAAAAUGGUAGCUUCAAAUAGAACAUUACUUGGCCCUCAUAGGUCUAAAAUUUUUAGGAAGAACAAAUAAAUGUUUGUAUAUAUCAAACAUUUACAAAAACAAAAAUUUCCCUGUAUUUUAUUUGCCUUUAUACAAAUCUGGUUUGCAAGUCCCUUUACCGUGAUUUGAAUUGACCCAUUGGAUGGAACACAGGCCAAUUCCACCAGACUCCUGCCUAUGCCUAACAAUGGAAUUACAAAAAAAAUAAAAAAUAAAAUAAACAAACCAAAAAACCAAAAAACAAAAACCUAGAUUCUGUGGGAAAAAAAAAAUGUAAGGGAAAGAUUUGCAUUGAACAUCUAUGAUGAUACUGCUGAUUUAUAGCAGGAGUUUAGAUAUUUUAAAUUAUUUAUUUCAAGUUUUUAAAAAACAUUUCUUGAAUUCAGUGAAUUUUAUAUAAUAUACUAUUUGGGAAAUUUCAGAGUUCACAUAAUCAGAGUCCCAUGUUGUAAGAAGCCAUGUGAUACCUUAAGGACAAAUCUAAACAUUUCUCCCAAUCUAAUCACUUUUAUGUAUUUAUCUUGCUGAUGCCUAUAAUAUAAAUUUAUACUAAUAACUAUAUGAGAAUGAGAGACAAGUAUCUUAAUGCUAAAAUAAUUACAGUAUUAAAAGUAUUAGGCAAAUUAUUUCCUGGUUCCAACAACAGAUGAGGACAGUCUUCAUGAUCUGAGGAAAUAUGCUCGAUUGCUCGGUGCUGAAAAGGCUGAGAAUUACAGAGAAAAAAAAUAAACAAUUCAAUCAGUUCCAUUUGUCUCCAUCUACUUUAUGUUGUGUCAUAAAUAAUGUUUUUUUUUUUAACUGGGAAUUGAAUUUAGGUGCACUCAACCACUGAGACACAUCCCCAGCCCUAUUUUGUACUUUAUUUGGAAAUAGCGUCUCAGUGAGUUGCUUAGCACCUUGCUUUUGCUGAGGCUGCUUUGAACUUGAGAUCCUCCUGCUUCAGCCUCCCAAGCCACUGGGAUUACAGGCAUGUACUGUCACACCCAGCCAUGAUGAUACUGUAUUUUAAAUGCUACUUUAUAGAGUUCCAAUCAAAGUAGUUGACAAUUUCCACUGUCUCCAGGGAGGUCUCCCCUGCAGGUGAGCACUUUUGGCUUUAGAGACCAUGAUUUCACCAUCUGAGUUAAGAACAGAGCAGUCCAUGCCUGUAACAAAGCGUUUAUGCAAGCAUUUGGUGGUACAGAACAGUAAAAAAACCCCUCAAUAUAAUUCUUCUAAUUGAUUUCAACCACCUCUGCCAAAACUAUGGCUCUCUUCACCAACCUGAACUCUCAGGCACCAUGACUGAUGGGAUAAGAAAAUGGCACUGAAGGUUUGAAGAUGGAAGCAUCUGGAAUGCUCUGAACCAGCUGGAUCCAGGAUCCCUAGAGCAACAAUAACCACAGAAAAAGGAACUCCCUGCACAAGCAAAAUGUGGAAUGAAAGUCUCAAAUGGCUACUUUUGGAGAUAUUUUUCUGGGCACUUGAUUUUUUACUUUUGUCUGUAUACAUUUCGAAUACAAGUUUUCUUAAGGAGGUUUUGGGUUUGUUUUUCUUAUUGUUUGUUUGUUUGUACUGGGGAAUGAACUCAGAAGCCCUUAAAUUCUCAGCCAUAUUCUCAAUCCCUUUUUAAUUUUUUUUAAACAGGGACUUACUAAGUUACUUAAGGCCUCACUAAGCUGAUGAGGUUGACUGAACUCUCAUUCUUUCUACAUCAGCUUCCAGAGCUGGUGGGAUCAGAGGCAGGUGCCACCAUGCCUGGCUUAAGGAGGUUAUGAAGGAAAAACUAAAUAUUAUAGCAUGUUCUUGUUUAGAAUGCAUAAAUUUCAGCAAUCUUCUUUUGUAUGAGACAUAUUAAAUAUUUUUUUUAAUUUUAGGAAAUAUCAAUUUAAUUUUGAUGGAAGCAAAGUGAACAGUCAAAAUCAAUUUUUUUUAGAAAGUUACAUUUAUAUCUAAUGACAUCAAUUUUAUUAGGUAGUUGUAAGUUUUACUUCUUAAAAUCUAACAGUUUAAAAAUUUUUUAGUUUACCAUUGUGUGUGUGUGUGUGUGUGUGGUGCUGGGGAUUGAACCCAGGAUCUCAGACAUGCUAGGCAAGCAUUUUACCACUGAGCUAUACCCCCAGCCCUAGUUCAACCAUUUUGAGAUGGUAACAUUUUAAAAUGUAUGUUUCUUGGCAUACAACGAUAAGGCAUAUUGUGUCAGAAGAAUCACAUUAAGGUUUUUUUUUUCUUUUCUGCUUCCCCAAAUGCUUGCAUAAACCAAAAGAGCAUUUAAUUCUAUAUUGAAUGAUAAUAUUAAUCCAUUACUGUCUCUAUAAUAACCAGCUCUUCCAUUAGGGAACUUGUAAAAUACACUGGCUCAAGUGUGGCCACAAAAUCACUGGCCAUGAUGCUCAGCCCUUUGGGAGCUGCCUAUCUGCCCUUGGUACCUGGAGACACCUGAACUUUCCAAAAUUCUCUACUCAGCCCUCUUAGUACCCUUCAUAAGACCCCUUUCCUCUUUUGUCACAAAUGUGUUGCUAAGAAAUAUUUUAUCACUUUUCAUAAAUCAAUAGAAUGCAAUAUAAAUAAAUAAAUGAGUAAAAACACAAAAUUAUAUAAAUAAAACACAUAGAUAAUCCUUCAGAAGAAAUGUUGAUAUAUUGAGCUUUGUAAAUCACACUUCAGGAAUGAGCAUAAAGUCUGGUAGCAAUACCAGGAAUAUUUAUUGAAGCACACAUUACAUGCAAUCAGAGUAGCAAUACUAAACAUUAAACCUCAUCAGCUAAUUGCUACUGUCUUACAAAACAACUAAUUUAAAUAUGCAAAGAAAGUAGUCUGAAUACACAAGUUAAAUUUUGUACUACCAUUUCAUAAUGACUGCUUAUCAUAUUCUGAGCUGAUAACUUUUAAAAAUUGAAUACAAUGGAAAUAAGUGGAUCCUAAACUAGGAGAUUUUUUUACAACCUUCACAGUACUCACUGCAGGGGAGCCUAAAUCAUAAUGGGUUUCUGUCUCUGCAUAUCAGAAACAUAACAUGCAAGGCCCUGGGGCUUAUUUAAAAUUAUUAAAGUGUUUACUUUGUUAUUAUAAUCUUUACAACUACUGGGAAGUUUAGAUGUUAAGUUGGUAUGAAAAAAGAUCACCCAUGAACAGCCAGGUAAAGGGUCUUGAGGGAAGGAAAAGAGUAAAAGAGACUGGGAAAUCAAAGUUCUGACCCCAGCUACUCAGAGCCACAAGGACAGUUUCAUAACAGCCCCUAGACAUGACCAAUCAUAAAAGGUACUUGUGUUGUCCAAAAAGACCCUCACUCCCACCCUUGUGCUAACAAAGGGUUAGAAAUCGCUUAUCUCCAGAUGUGAAGAAUAAGACAAAACAAAGAAAGUUGACUGGCCAUUUCUGAACUCUAUAAUUCCAUCAAUCAACUACAGGGACAGAUCAAGCCCACGAAAACACCUAGACAACAGACACCUCUUCAUCUUUGGGAGUUCUGCUUUAUUUAUGUUAGUCUAAUAAAUCCUGUUACUUUUCUCUCACCCUUGUGUUCAUGGAUUUCAUUCUAUAACUUGGCAAGAUAAAGAACCCACCUGAUAUUCAUGCUCCUUGUUAUAAUACUGAAGUAAUC